UAUGUACAUGUUUGAUAGUAAAGAUAGGUUAAGUUGAUAAGGUGGACUGAUCAGACUGCUGUUAGUAGAGGAAAAACUGAGGAAAAAUGUAUUUGUACCUAGGAAGAAAGCCCCAAAGAGAAUGGCCCAGAAGAUGGGGUGGGCAUGAUGUUGUCAGGUUUGGUCCUGUUUGUCUUUUCCCUCUUUGCAAGUCUUUCAAUUUCUCUAUUUUGAUGGUCUGUGGUGACUGACUUCAAAUUGCAGACAAUUGUUGUCACUUGCUGUUUGUGCAAAGUAAUGUUAUUGCAAUUCCCUCCUCUUGGAAAUGCUUGCUUGCCCCCUAUUUGUUUCAUUCCAAGUUCUUUGCAUAUUUCACUUGUUGGAUGUGAUAAGGUUGGUGAAUCUUCAACAUUUGUACGUCUCUAGAACUGAUGUUGAAUUAUUGCGGUAGUUGACGAUCCUACCAGAUUGUUCCAUCUUGAAUUCUGAAAAUACAAUGGUAGAAUGAAAAUUGUAGCCGAUUUUUGGCGGGGUGCCCUUGAAACGCUCAACUGCUAACAUGUCUCCGCAUAAAUUACGCUGAAGAAUUGUUUUCGAUGUGGGGGAUAACCAAAGAAAAAAUUUCAUGUAGUUGUCAGGUCACAACUUAAUAUUUCGUUUCGUGCUUUCUUCCUAGUUUCUUAUUUAAUACUAAAAUAUCAGCUGAGUGCCAUUAUUGCGCAUUUGUUAAAAGAAGCCACCCAAAAACAUAGCCAUUCUCGAUGCUUUUUUAUCGUUUCCUCUUUCCCUCUUCCUUUUACUUUUUGAAUAAUUGAAUGUCGGCAUGACAUUGAUUGAACUUGUCCUAGUUGCCGAGUGCGAGAGUCAAAACAAUCAUCCAAUGUAACUGUACUACGGUCAUAUUUAGAAUCAAAGUUGCACAACGGAAGUUUUUUAAAUUGUACUACUGAAGCAUUUAGUAAUGGUAAAUAAUUAUUGGUUCAGCUACCUUGGCUCCAAGGGAGGGUAGCCUGUAGAGCCGUUGGAUGUAUCCUAUCAUAAUUAUUUCAUUUUUAAGUACAUAUAUCCAACGGUUCUAGUGACUGCUCUAUCUUAGAGUUGGUCGAAAGUAACCAUUGUAAUAAUUAUUGUAAUUUAAAAAUUAUAUUGAUAUAAUUUUUAUUUACAUAAUAAAAAAUUUAUUUUUAUUUUGAUAAUUUUAUUAAAAUUAUUAUGUAAAAUUAUAUUUUAAAAUUAUAUAUUUUUAUAAUAAUUAUAUCUUUUAAGCUACAUUACGGGAAUCCAAAACAGGACAUAUAUUUAACAGCAAAAGGACAAGUGCAUGAAAUUAAAAGUUGCUGCCAAAUUUUUAUUGUACAUAUUUUAAUGUUUUGAUCAUUCGUUGUGUCCAGGCAGCCAAAACUGGCCCAUCUAUUUGCGGCGGUAUACCGCGGGCAGACUUCUGAGAAACCCGAACCGUUGUUUUAAAAAACCAAAAAUGCACGUAACCCUAAUACGAUGUCGUUUCUUUCACACCCCAUAAAAUAUGCAAUCAAACAAAUAUAGAGUAAGGGGUAUCUGAACAGUGAGAUCGAGGUCAAUGGUCAAAGUGGUAAGAAAUAUCAACGGCGCUUGCACUACCCUCUUUAUUAUCAAAGUGAGAAAAAGAACAUGUCCGACAAGUCGACAAUCGCUGUCACUUUACGAAUCUCAAGAACGCUUCCCGCUCAUGGAGCCUUUUUUUCCUGGUCUUGACCUCGAAAAAUCAUUUUUAAAUAAAUUUGGUUUUACGACAGAUUGCGACUUCCAUAUUCAAUUUUCUGCACUGGGUCUCUCCCACUAAAAGAAAAAAAAAAAGCAACCACCUCCUUUUGCUUUACUGUUCGUUCACUUUCUGGUUUCCAGUCCAAGUCAAUGGGAAAUAAUCGAAUGGCGGUGUCUUUCUUCUUGUUGCUUUUAAUUUUAAUUUUCGCUUUGUUUUGGGAAGACACCAAAGUGAAAGUAUUAGCCUCUGACAGUCUCCUAUCUCCCAAGGGCGUUAAUUAUGAAGGUGAGGUAACUGUGUAUAUGUCACUGCUGCUUUUUGGGUUCUGUCUUUUUGGGUUGCCUUAAAUUAUGGGUUCUGUCUUCUGUUGAGGAGCAGUUGCUGCUUUGAUGGCUCUGAAGAUCAAAAUGAGAGAUGAUUUGCAUGUGAUGGACGGCUGGGAUAUUAACUCUGUGGAUCCUUGUACUUGGAAUAUGGUCGCUUGCUCUGCUGAAGGUUUCGUUGUUUCUCUGUAAGCCUAACAACAAUGACAAUGUACCAUUUGUUUCUUUAUUUGUUCACUAUUAGUAGUGCGGCGAAUGUAUGUUCCGUUUCUUUAGGUCGUCUGUAAUAUUUAUUCUUUUUUUUCCCGUUUAAUUUGCUGUUUUGAAGUGAAAUGGCAAGUAUGGGCUUAUCAGGAACGCUGUCCCCAAGUAUUGGGAACUUGACCCACCUAAGAACAAUGUGAGUUACCUACCCUUCAGAAUGCUGUAGUGCUUACAUGUUUUGGUUUUUAUUAAUUUGUUUAAAUUUCAGUUAUUAGUUUCCGAAUAGUUGCCCUCUGUACAUUGACGUUUUGAAAUAAUCUGUAAUGUAUUACAUAUUGGAAAAUAGUACUUUUUCGUAAAUCUUCGAGGAAAUAAUGAAAAAAGUAAACCUUUUCUUGUUUAUAUACUACUAAUUUGUGAUUCCACAUUUUUUUUUUCUCCUGCAGGUUAUUGCAUAACAAUCAGUUAUCUGGUCCUAUCCCAGUUGAAUUUGGGAUGCUCUUAGAGCUUCAAACUCUUGACCUUUCUAAUAAUCAACUUGUUGGAGAAAUUCCAAGUUCUUUGGGUUUCCUAACUCAUCUAACUUACUUGUAAGUGUGGAUUGACAUUCAUUUGGUUAACCAAUAUGUACGUUAACUAGUUCUGAGUUUGGGGUCGUCUAAUUUUUCAUGUUCUAAAGCUUUUCUAUGACUAGUUUUUCAGGAGGCUUAAUAACAACAAGUUAUCUGGACAGAUUCCUACUCUUGUUGCCAAUCUUACAAGUCUUUCAUUCUUGUAUGUGUUGCAUGUCAUACAAACUGUGUUUUCUUUUUUUGAUUCUUUAAAAUGCUUCUGAUUUAUAUUUUAUAAUACCGUACAGGGAUUUAUCAUUCAAUAAUCUCAGUGGGCCUACACCUAAAGUACUAGCAAACGGCUACAGGUGAGAAUUUUAGAGGAAAGAGAUUUUCCCUAUCAAUAAACCUUACUACUCUUGCUUGUUCAUAUGUUUUAAUUUAAACAGUAGUGUUCUUUUAGGCAUCCUCCAUUGAUUCAAUGAAUCAAAAUUCCUGUACUAUUUAUGAGUUCAUCCUGAUAUUUGUUUUAGACAACUAAAGGUCAGCAUAUUUCAUUCUAGUUUUACAGGGAACAGCUUUCUUUGUACUUCAUCGGAACAUUCUUGCACUGGUAUUUCUAAACCAGAAAAUGGUAAUCUAGAUGCAACAUGUCUUACGUUUUCUUAUGUAAUGUGCUUCAAUGAUGUGAAUCCAAAUUAAUUACAAUACAAACUGAAGAGACAGGUCUAUCUCCAAAAGCCAGUGGUCACCGUCGAUUGGUGCUUUCUCUUGCUGUUGGCAUCACUUGCACAUUUGUUGUUUCAGUGGCGUUGCUUGUUUGUUGGGUGCAUUGGUACAGAUCGCGUCUUCUUUUUACAUCAUAUGGUACUUUCCGAACAAUAUGUAAUUUUACUAACCAUGUACUUGUUUAUAGAGGGUGAGAAAAAUUAAAAUGAUUUGCGAUUUGCAGUUCAGCAAGAUUAUGAAUUUGAUGUUGGUCAUCUGAAGAGGUUUUCAUUUCGUGAAUUACAAAUUGCAACUGGAAAUUUUAGUCCCAAAAACAUUCUAGGGCAGGGAGGAUACGGAGUAGUAUAUAAAGGAUGUCUUCCAAAUAGGAUGGUGGUGGCAGUUAAAAGGCUAAAAGACCCGAAUUUCACUGGAGAGGUGCAGUUUCAAACUGAAGUUGAGAUGAUUGGCUUAGCUUUGCAUAGAAACCUCUUGCGCUUAUAUGGCUUCUGUAUGACACCUGAAGAAAGGUUGCUUGUUUAUCCUUAUAUGCCGAAUGGGAGUGUUGCUGACUGCUUGAGAGGUUAGUUUCAUUUCCUUGAGCCAGUCCAGAUUGCUAAUGUGAGCAACUGCUGCUUGAGGCUUUGCAUUGAAGCUCACACUUUUCUGUUUGUUAAACAUCUGUUCCUUAGCUCACUAAUUCAGUUAGGGAAAUCUUGUUUGUGUAUUCAUUUCUGCCCAAAAUGAUAUUGUGACCCGAAAUGUUUACUCGUCAUAUUAAGAACACAUUUAAAUAUUUUCACAAUUUGCCCUAAUUCUGGGGCACUUCUUGAUGAGUUCUCAUUUAUAUUCUUAUAGUCGGAAGAAUCAUAAUUCCUAUAGGAAACUUUUUGUUUGGUCAAUAGAAAAACAACCGUGUUAUGCAGCUAUGCAUCUGAAUUCAUUUUGAAUAGCUUCUGGAUUUAAUCAGUCACACUGAGUUUGAAAUACAUUCAAUCUCUGCAUUCUUAUUCUACCUUUACUUUUUCUCUUCGUCUUUUCACUGUUUCUUUGUUGGCUUCUUUUAUUUGGUAGACACUCGUCAGGCAAAGCCACCUCUUGACUGGAAUAGACGGAUGCAUAUUGCCCUUGGAACUGCCCGUGGACUUCUUUACUUACACGAACAGUGUAAUCCAAAAAUAAUUCAUAGGGAUGUUAAAGCGGCAAACAUUUUGCUUGAUGAAAGUUUUGAAGCUGUGGUUGGGGAUUUUGGCCUUGCUAAGUUGUUAGAUCGGAGAGAUUCACAUGUCACUACUGCAGUGCGGGGAACUGUGGGUCAUAUUGCUCCUGAGUAUCUUUCAACUGGGCAGUCCUCUGAAAAAACUGAUGUCUUUGGAUUUGGGGUACUACUUUUGGAACUCAUUAGAGGGCAAAAGGCCUUGGAUGUUGGAAAUGGUCAGGUUCAGAAGGGAAUGAUCCUUGAUUGUGUAAGUACCUACGGCUCUCUUGUAAAUUAAGUCGUUGGCAGUGCCAGCACAUUGCAUAUCUCGAUUCUGCAUGUUGCAUCUCUGGAAACAACUUUUGUGUUCCCCUAGUUACUAAAUAUUACACCAAUUAUGCAGGUUAGAACCUUACAUGAAGAGAGGAGGUUGGAUGUGCUCAUAGAUAGGGAUCUAAAGGGAAGUUUUGAUCCAACGGAAUUAGAAAAAAUGGUACAGCUGGCUCUGCAGUGUACUCAAUCACAUCCUAACCUCCGACCAAAGAUGUCGGAAGUCUUGAAGGUCUUGGAAGUUCUUGUAGAGCCAGUAACAGAAGAAAUGCAAGGUGGAACCCACUUUUGUGAGGCAAGGGAUUGUAGCUUCUCUGGGAAUAAUAGUGAUCUUCAGGACGAGUCAUCAUUUAUCAUUGAAGCCAUUGAACUUUCUGGACCUAGGUAAUAGAAACUACUAGAUGCAGUGUCCAAAAUUCAGCUGUAAAUGAGGUUUGCUUCUUAUUAGGCACAUUAUUCACUGAAUUGUAGUCGAACAUUUUUUGGGUUAGUGCCUGAGGUUGCAUCAGGGCUUCCAGGCAGUUAACUGUAAAUGUUACUACUCUAAAGCCUUUUCCUGGGAGCGUCUAAAUAUGCUUCAGGAAUAUAUUAUUCUUAUAAUCAUGAUUCAUUGACAAUAAUUUAUUUUCCCAGAAGCUACGCUACACAUUACUGGAAUUAGUUGGCGUGACACAUGCCAGCUGUCUCCAAAUUAUGAUUUAUUUCCUUUUCAGUUAAUGGUUUAAAUUGUAAUUUGAAGAUAAUAACGUGUACAGUCUGCUGGCACUUACCCAGCGGGUGGCGGCUAAACCUUUUGUAUCUCUUUGCACUUUCAAUGCAUAUCCAUUUUCAGCAGACGAAGAUUCAUGAAUUGAAUAUGCACUAAAAUGUAAAAUCCCUUAUAGCCACUUGCAUUGGUUGAUAGUGCGACAAGUGAUUAAAAGAUUGUGACUACCAAACUCUCCAACCGUCCCACUUGAUUAAAUUUUGGCCAUAACUCCCCUGUUUUGGUCUCUCCCAGUGCCUGGUGAAUGUGCUUCAAUUUUGCAUUCCAUUUUAUAUAUAAAAAAAAAAUCCCAUCUCAGUUUUUACCUCCGCGGUUUGCUUAAGUUGCGGCGCCAACAGAGGCAGCAGCCUUUACCUAUUCAAAACGUUACCUAAAAAAAACAAAAUAUUAAAUAUUCCAUGCCAAAAAGAUAAGCCAAACAUAACAAGAUAAGCAUGUUAACUCUACGUGUUUGUAAUGCAAUUCUCUGCUUGCUCCUAGGGUCCUUCCAAAUACAUACUUUAUUUGGUUACUUAAAUUCCAAAUCACGAAUAAAUCCAAAUCACGAAUAUUAACCAUUAAAAUAUAAUUUCAUUCCCACUCAAACUCUACCUCUUCUGGUAUUGUUUGUUGGUUCGUUUCUUCUCACCUGAUCUCGUCUUUCAUAAUCGUUUUAUAAAUAUAUAUAUAUCAAGAAGAAUAUAAGGUACUUGGUUGACACUUGGUGGAGUUAUCUUUGGGACAACGUUAGAUCUCUGUUACGAGUCUAAAACUCUGUCUCUUGCUUCUUUCUUUUUCUUUUUUAAGUUUAUUUUCAAAAAAAGUAUGAGCUUGUUUUAUCCUUUUUUUUUUUUUUAAGUUAGGGGGUUUUAAUAUUUGAAGUAAUCAAGUAAACGCUUUUUUUGGUGGAUGAUUGGAGGGGCUCUCGUUUGCGUGUGUAUGAAGUGAACAAAUAGAGUAGGUGACGAUCUGGUCUCUGGGUUUGUUGUAAAGAAGCAAGAGGUUCGUUUUAUGUUGGAAUUAAUUAGCUGUUAAUUGUCAUUAUUUUUUCCCAAUAACCGAAUACUUUUGUCUGUAAAUACUGCAUAUUUGAUUCCAAUUUUCCAUUCUUGAUUCUGGUUUUUAAUCUGUGAAUGAUUGUUUUAUAAGGAUUGGCGAGAACGAGUAUUUCAGUAGUAGAGAUAAUGUCAUUGGCCAUAUGUCCAUGAUCUCAUUCUAUGCAUAUUUGUUCUCUUUUUCUUGAAAAUUAUUGGGGGGAGAAUUAUUUAAUUUUCUUACAUAAGAUUAAAUGGACCAAGAGACACAGAAGAGUAAUAGGAACGAUGACAAUUUGAGUCAAGUAAAUUGUAUUAUAAGUGAGAAUUCCAGAUAUUCGGUUAAUAGGGUUGCCUUGGACACUGUGGCUGCGGCAAAUUCAGUUGAAGCUGUGAGUAUUGGCGGGGGAAUUGAUGAUUUUGGAUCAAAAACUGACGAUCCUGGCUCAAGCAGAGCAUUAGUAGAAGCGCAAGAGGUGGUAAUAAACCAUGAUACAUGUACUAGCAGAGUAAUUGGGGAAAAUUCAAGCAAUCCUGUUGAUGGGGUGUCGUUAGAAACUGUGGCUGUUAGAAAUUCUGAACAGAAUACUGGUUUUACUGAAGAAAAUGGGCGCCUUGGAUUGAAAAUUGAUAAAAUGGUGUCAAGUGGUGCAGUAGUUAAUGCACCUGAGACAUGUAAUGGACAAGGAACUGAUGAGAGAGGUCAAACUGAUCCAGAGAGCAGUGGGAAUUCUAGUCAUGUGGGUGAUGUGGUUGUGCCUGUCAUUGUGAUAAAUUCAAAUCAGACAGCAUGCUCUGGAGGAGAAAAUAGGGACUUAGAAGUGAAAAGUAAUGAUUUGGGUUCAGGUAAGGCGCUGGUGGAAAACAGCAUCAGAAAAAUGUCUAAACCAGAAACCGAGAAGGAAUCCUGUGUGAUUGAUAUGAAAUGUAGUGCUGGAGGUGGAAAAGGGUUUAGGGAGAACCCAGAUGGGGAAAGAGUUUGUAGGAUUUGUCACUUGGGUUCUGAGCAAUUGUUGGAAACUACAGCUACUGCCUCUACCACUGUCAAUCUAAUUCAGCUUGGUUGUGGUUGUAAAGAUGAGCUUGGCGUUGCUCAUAGUGAUUGUGCUGAAGCAUGGUUUAAGCUAAAAGGAAACAGGUAAAUGUUUCUUGUUUCUGUGAAAACUUGCAUCUUUUUAGUGUCUGCCACAGAGUUUAUGGGUAAAUGUGUUUUUGGGUAGAUUUAUCAUCAGAAUGUACUGAGAAUUACAAGGGCUUUGCAAAUUUUGUGUUUCCCUAGAAGCCGAACUUUCCAAAUACAUACCUGAUUCUCUUGAGGUUUUGAAAUAUCAGCAGCAUUACCACAGGAAAAGAAAUAUUAAUUUCAAUUACUAGAUGAUGUUGCUUAAGUUAUAUGGUUUUAUUUCUUUUAACUUGCACAUAUUACCGAAUAAAAAUAAAAUUUUGUUCAAAAGAGUAACUUGGAUUUCUACUUCUUUUGUUCAUGUUGUAUUUUUUUUAUAUUUAAUUUUCCUCUCUUUUCUAAUGUAACAUGGAUUUCUACUUCCCUGAUUUUAGGAAGUUUUAGUCUCCAUUAAAUUUCAGUGCUCUGAACCUAAUUUCAAGUGGACUCUUGGUCUCAUGUUAAGCUCAAACCAAAUACUGAGCAUCCAGUUCAGGCGGCUCCUUCGCAGAGCAAAAAAUGGUCUAGGGGCUUUAGGUCCAUAAGCUUUCAGCUUGGAAUAUAGAUCUUGAUUCAUUGUAAGUAAGUUUGAUGAAUAUCCAUUUAGGGAAUUAGAUGUUUAUGGUGCUGUCAUAAUCAUUCUUCUCAGUAAUAUAGAUGAAAUAUUAAGUGAUAGCAAAAAACUUUAUGAUUCAUAGUGAGGAAAUGUCUUAUGGAUACCGGAUAGACAUGUAGGCUGGAAACAUCUCAUUCAUUACGUGUUGCUUUAGCAAUUGUGUGAAUAUUUCCAGAUAUGUGUAAAGUGUAGUAAACAUGUGAUAUAAUGAAAUUAUGAUUACGAAUGUGGUGAAAAUAAACUGUAUCCUGCAUUAUCUUUGUCAACAUUUCUCUAUUAUUGCCUCUCUUUUUGGUGGUUUUGGAUUUUCUGACAAUUUAGGAAUUAGAUGUUCUGGUGCUUCGCAGACAUGCUUUCUGUCCCUUUUAACAUGAUUACGAUAAUUCUUUUACAAGGAAAAAAGUGAUAUCUUUUGGUUUUUUAAUGUGAAUCAACAAAUUGUUUCAAAUUGAUUCUGUAAUAAUAAGGUUUCAUAUUCUGAGUGUGUAAUUUUAGUCUCAAAACAAUAAGUGAAUGCUUCCAGAAAUCUUUGAACCAUUAGUUGUUAGCAAAUUAAUAAUGACAUAGAGUAUCUUUCUUGUCUGUACAGAUUGUGUGAAAUUUGCGGCCAGAGUGCAAAAAAUAUUACUGGUGUUGGGGAUUACAGAUUUAUGGAAGAGUGGAAUGAGCGGAGAUUUAUUGCCAGCAGUAGCUCAUCAGAAAGGGGUGGUUGUUGGCGGGGGCAGCCAUUUUGUAACUUCCUUAUGGCAUGCUUGGUAAUAGCUUUUGUACUACCAUGGUUUUUUCGUGUAAAUAUGUUUUAGGAGAAGGUGAAUAAAACUUAAAAAGGAUUCUCUUUCCUUGUGUCAUUUGGAUUCUGGGCAACGUAGGCUAGUUCCACAUUAUACAGUGAUUUGCUGCUUCUGUGAUUGAAGGCUGGAUAGAAUUGAUUAAUGAUUAGCCUGCCCUAUUCAUUACUCUUAUGGUUCCCAUUGUUUUUUUUUUUUUUUAAUUUAAAUUAAAAUUUUAUUAUAAACUGUUUUUCUUAGUCAUUAUACUUUCGAUCCAUUCCAUUGUUAUCCAAGGUGUUGGUCAUUGAAAAUACUGUAGAGAAAACUGGUUGCUGCUUAUAUUUGAUUACAUUCCAUUGUUAUCCAAGGUGUUGGUCAUUGAAAAUACUGUAAAGAAAAUUGGUUGCUGCUUAUAUUCGAUUACAUGGAGAAUUCUAGUCUUUUGGCCUUGUGUCUUUAUCUUCUUGUUCUGUUGUCUAAUUUAAUCAUAUGUUACUGCUCGUGCUAGUAGGAAACCAUGGACGAGAUGCAUAGUCAGAGAACCACGUGCAUUAUGCAAUGCAGGCAGAGUUUUGCAAAGACCAAGACCAUUUCUAAUGCAUCCACCUUCCAGGCGCUUUUGAAAUAUAUUAUUUGGUAAAUGAAUAAAUAAAAAAUCAUCUAUUAUCAUAGCGGCUUCUAUCUAAGUCUAGGAUUUAUACCAAACUAUAAUUGUGGUUGGAUGAUUUUUACAUGGGCUCACUCCACUAAUUACACUAAAUUUUAUAUCUUCACAUGAUACUUCGUUCAUGGUGGAGAAAUAUUGAUAACUUGGAUUUGCGCCAAAAUAUAUCAAGAACAGUGAAUUGCAGAGUUGGCCGCAGAUAGUGAAAGGCCAUCCCAUAAAGGAUAAUAGAAUUUGCCAAUAUGGCGGUCUUUAUUUAUUUUUUUAAAUAAUUGAUUUUACACCAUCCCACCAUUCAGUAUCCACCAUUCCAUGGUUCCACCUAGUGAAAAUUAUGCAUAAGUUAUAAUAGUAAAACUAAUUAUGUUAGAAUGCAAAUGAAAAUUAUUUUUGCACUUCAACUUAAAUUUCAUUUACUUCCUUUCAACUUUGACUCUUCGUUUUACUAUAGAUAAAACGGCAAGCACUACACGAACACGAUAUGCGUUUGUACAGUACGGCAUGCACAUGGGUUGGGCUGACCUUAUAAUUUUAGACACACGGACCUUAAAAGGUAUAGUCCGAUUAGAGACGUAUUAAAACACGACACGUAAAAAGACUCAUAAUAAGCACGUUUCACUUUUUAAUGGAAUUAAACUUAAAAUUUCACGAUUUUACAAAUAACUUGAAAUUGAAUAUUUUAAUAUAUUUUAUUGGCGCAAGUUUUUUAAAUUCAUUUAGUUCUUAGUUAAAAAAAAGAACUGUAAUUGAUUUAUGUUUAUAAUUUAUUAAAUGCACAAUUGAUAUCAUGAUUUUAGCAAAUAAAAUUAUAAAUAUCAUGAUUUUAUGAAUAUGUACUAAUGUUAUUAUGGAUAAUGAUCUAUAACUCUAAAUAAGUUUAAGUUAAUAACUAAGUUAACCCUUAAGAAAAAUUUGGUAUUAAAAAAGAAUUCUAAUACCGCAGAGUCUAACUUAUUAAUUAGUAUUAUAUUAUCUUAUUAUUAUUAGUUUAUUAUUAUUAAAUACUGACUUUAAUUUUGAAAUUUGAACUCUGUAGAUAUAUGAACCCAAAUAAUACAUAGAUUUAAAAAAAAAUAUGCUAACAACUUGACAUGUCUUUUUUAAAAAAAAAUUGUUGUAUUUUUUUUUUUAUUUAUUUAUUUAGGCACGACAUAUGUCUUAGGUCGAACCUAAAUAAAAAAAUUAAAUACAGAGUGACUCAACUCGCGUACGAACACAUACGUAAGUCUUUGGCGAUAUCUAUUCAUGAGUAAGUUUCAUGCAACAAGUAAAAUUUCCAAAUUCUAAUGUUGAGUAGUGAAUAUAAUUCUGUCAAGAAGUAUUAUAGUGAGACCCCAUCAGCAUUCCGUUGUAGUCUAGGUGGUUAGGAUAUUCGGCUCUCACCCGAAAGACCCGGGUUCAAGUCCCGGCAACGGAAGUCCUUUAUGCAUAAUUUUCGCUUUUGUGAAGGGGGUAUUUUCGUCAAUGUACGAAUCAACCAUUACAAAAGCCCUAAAUCGCUCACCGAGUCUAUCUUAGCUGCCUCUAUUCUUGUCAUCAGCCCCUCUGCGAUCAGCAAGCAGCAAUGGUUGUUUUCUUACUCGCUGCAUUUGAUUUUGAUUUGAUUCGGUUCGUUUCAAACUUGUUGUCUGUUUUAUUAAUUGUGAUGGUUUGGUUGUUUAUGGUCAAUCAGGCGUCAGACAAGAAGCUGUCGAAUCCAAUGAGAGAAAUAAAAGUGCAAAAGCUGGUCCUCAACAUCUCCGUCGGUGAAAGUGGCGAUCGUCUCACACGUGCGGCCAAGGUCCUCGAGCAACUCAGUGGACAAACCCCCGUCUUCUCCAAGGGUAACUUACUUGCUUACACUUCACAAUAAUUUUCUUAGGUAUUUCUUUCUUUACUUACUUUUUUUUUUUGAAAGAAAAUAAUAAUUUUCUUUAUCAUUGCUAUUUAAAAAAAAAAAUGUUAAUAGCGAGAUACACUGUGAGGUCAUUCGGAAUCAGGCGUAACGAGAAGAUUGCUUGUUACGUUACGGUUAGAGGAGACAAGGCAAUGCAGCUUCUGGAGAGCGGUUUGAAGGUCAAGGAGUACGAGCUCCUGCGGCGUAACUUCAGCGAUACCGGCUGCUUCGGCUUUGGCAUUCAGGAGCACAUCGAUCUCGGAAUCAAGUUUGUUUCUUGACUCAAUGACCGUUGACAUUUUAUUCCAAUCUUAUUAUUAUCGAUAUUAUCAUUAUGUUUUAUGUUAGUAUUUUAGUUUAUGAGCUUUUUAAAAAAAAUUUGAACUCAUUGGUAGCUUGAGAAGUCAAGCCAAGGUUAAUUGAAUAGUUACUUUACUUUCAUGUGUUCCUAGCAUGCUGUAUUGUAAUGCUGUUGUACACACAACAUUGGCUGCCUAACUCUUGAUACGAGUCAACCAAAUGUUGGGUUGGCUUUCAGUAUGCUCGUGUGGAGUGAGUCUAAGAAUUGGUAUUUGAAAUUGAUGCCUCUGUUUGAGAAGCAAAAGUUAUUCGCUCAGUGUGGGGUUGAUGCCAACUUGCUUUAUUUAAGGGUCAUAUCUGAUUAAAAUAUUUUUUUUCCCGGAAUUAAUAGCAAGCGCUAGGUUCGUACCAGAGUUACCUAUGGAACAAAAAGAUACUUUCUUUCCUAUAUGUAUUAUACACCAAAUUUUAUUAAUGCAGUCUGUCUCUGUUUCUUCCUUUAUAUUUUAUUUAAUUAUGUAUUUUCUUGUAAGAAGGGUGAUUUUAGAAGUAAUAUUUUUUUUUAAUUAAUCUAUCCAGUAAAUGAGUUUAUGUUGAGCUAACUGUUGGUGGUUAUUUUCCCUUAUUAGGUAUGACCCUUCCACAGGUAUUUAUGGCAUGGACUUCUUUGUUGUCCUUGAACGCCCUGGAUACCGUGUUGGUCGUCGCCGCAGAUGCAAGUCUCGCGUUGGCAUCCAACAUAGAGUUACGAAGGAGGAUGCCAUGAAAUGGUUUCAAGUGAAAUAUGAAGGAGUUAUCCUUAACAAGUCCCAAAACAUUGGUGCUUAAGGCGAUCUUUGAAACCUGUUGAGUUUUUUUUUUCCCUUAAGUUUUGGGCAGCUGCCCGAUUUUUGUUUAUUAGAAUCUAUAUUUUCCUUUGGAGUUUUGAGUUGGUGGAUUUUUUUAAGCACAAUUUGCCGUGGUUGCCCUGUUCUUUUAUUAGAAUAAUGGUAAAGGCAAUUAUUUUUCUUUUGAAAAUUUCAUUUAAGUUCUUUUACCCUGUACGCUGACCUGUUAUUGCAAAUGGCUUGUUUAUCAUCAGCGGUAGCAUUCUACCACCUGUUGCUAAAAUCCUUAACAAUAAAACUCUUUGCACUAAUAAAUUUUCAUGUGCUGUCAUUUAAAUAUAAAGACAACAUGGACAAUUGUACACGCGACUGCUUAGGAGGGCGAAGCUCAAAAUAAUUGGAAUCUACAUAGGCCAGCUGAAACAACAACAUAAAGACCAUUCAAUAAUGGCAGUCAGUGGGAAUACAUCUCUUGUAUAAAACGCAUAUUUUUGAAGCACGUUUCAGUGUUGUAAGUAUGUUGAUAAUUCAGGUAUGCUUAGAAACAUGCAAGUAUGUUGAUAAUUCGGGUAUGUUCAAUGGUCUUUCAAGAUCUCAACUUCUUAAUGAGCUCACUUUUUUUCAUCCUCGAGUAACCUUUGAUCCCUCUAGCCUUUGCUAGUUCUUUAAGCUGGGGAAGCUUCAAUUCCUCUACCCUUGGCAACUCUAGCUGCCUGGUGCUUUCUUUGUUUGCCGAUGGUUCAUAGUUCAAAACUCUUUUAUCUCUAGGGGCUGAUGGAGAUGGUAUGGGAGACCUCUUGACAAAAUUAGAUGGCAACCGAGUUAACUUGGUGUCUGUGACUGGUUCGUUAUUCUGUAUUUUCUGCUCUUCCUUGGGCACAUCCUUCAUUGAAUGUGUGUCUGUCACUGCAAGUAUUUUGAAUUAGACAUAAUGAUAGUGCAAAAUAAGUUAACUUUAAUUACAUACCAAAUCAAACUGAACAUUGCAAUAAACAAUUGAAACUCUAACUCAUUCUGCCUAGAAAGUUAAUAGUUUCGGAAUUCGUGUUGUCCAGAAUGAAAGUGGUACUAGUUGUGUGAUGAUGUUGCCAUGGUCAAAAAGUGAAUCGAAGUUGUACUGGCGAUACUACUUAUUCCUUUUCUCAUUCUUUUCAAACUGAUGCCUUUUAAAUAUCCAAGAGUAGCAAAUUCAAGAUAGAUUUUCUAAGAACCAUCUCUAUUCUCUUUUUUUUUAUUAUUAUUGUUCUGUUAACAAAAAAAAGCAACAAGUCACAUGUUUUAUUCCUAUGGCAACUGUGGCAAACCAAAGAAUUGGACAACUAAGGACAUUCCAAAAUCCUAGUAAGAAUACUUCAUGAAGUUAAAUUUAUGCUAGUCUUUUCCAUAACUAAAAAUGUAACACAAGACUGCAGUACCUUUUACUUCCUUUCGUGGCUGGAGAAGAACAUCUGGAACUGAUUGAACUUUGGGCUUGUCAGAUGAGCUGGGAUUUCUUUUCUUUGUGCGUAUAGCCUCUCUCUUUGAGAUUGAAGAUUUAAUCCGUCCGAACAGAGAAAUUAUCGCUUCGUUGUUAGAUGAGCUCGAUACCUUACCAUCAGAUGAUUGAGAUGAUUCAUUUCCGUCCCCAUUCUUGGUUCUUCCAGCAGCAUAACCAUUCAGGGGUGGUCGGUCUCCUCUACUUCCAUCAGCUCUUAUGCUUAAAUAAGUAAAUUUAAAUGGGCUCUUUUGGAUGCCAAAAGGGGAAGGCCAAUCUGCAAUCUCUGUCAAAUUCAAGAAGCUGCAUCAAAGAAUGACCUCUCAAGUCUGUAGUUUAAUUCAACACAUCGACAAGCUGUUACCAGACUACAACCCAAGGCAAUAAGUAAUAAGAACAACAUUAUUACAGGAACCAUUAAUUAAUGGCAUACAUCAGCAACUAAGUGAUUAAGCCAACAGUUCAAGUGAAAAUGCAAAACAUCCCAAAUAAAGACUUAAACUUCGAGCACUAAGAAAAGUCCACGCAAUUCAAAGUGAUGGGCAUUUUCAUAAUCGGAAAAGGGAUGAUUUAAUACCUCUUAGGGACAAAACGGGAGUUCCUGGCUUCAGCUGUUUGUUGAAAGACAACAUAGGUUGAGGAUAAAAAGAAGUUGCAUCCAUCUAAGUCUCCUGGAAAAUCGGAGAUGAUUCAGACAGGUAUAAUUAGCUUAAGCAGUUUUCAGGAAACAAGAGGGAUUUUGACAAUUUCAUUAAUAGGGAAAAUAUCUUUGCACUACAAACUGCAUAUAGUUUCGUUGGUAGGGAAAAAAAUAACAAAUAAAUAGUUGGUCCACAACUUUGAAAAGCUCGUGCGCGACACGUGACAUACUCUGCUGUAAAAUACUAAUUAAGUUGCGAGAAUUAUCAAAAUACUCCCUGUAAUCUAAAAAAAUAGUGAAAUAUAUAUAUAUAUAUAUAUAUAUAUAUAUUCAUUCAUUCCUCUAACAGUGCCAUCAAUUCCUGAGUCCUGACAACAAAUGAUAGAGUUACGGGAUGUGUUACCGGCCCUCGCCCACAUAUGCAUUAAUGUGUGGGAAAGGACUGGAAGUCUGAGAGAAUCAAACUGUCAAAGCAAAAGUCUCUAUAGUUUGCAUUUUCGUCCCGCCACCGCCAAAUGUCUUUGGCCGUUGUUUUACUUACCACAUCUAUGCUUAUUGCUUAAUCAAAUUCCUGCAGCGUAAAAGAAAAUGCAGAUUUUCAUGGCCAAAAUCACUACGAACUUCUUCUAUUUCUCUCCACCUAAUCAAAGUUAUGGAGAAAAAUUUGCCAGCUAUAAGCCAUCUACAUUACCAAUCAUCGUUUCAUCAAAUUCGCACAGUUCUUGCACAAUAAACCCCAUUUCUGCCUCGAUUUCCAAAACCCUCGUUUGCAAAACUAAAAAUUACAAUGCUGAAAUCGGCAGGUUUUGUGAAGUGGGUAAUCUUGAAAAGGCCAUGGAAGUACUUUACAGCUCUGAAAAAUCUAAAAUUGACACAAAAACUUACUGUUCCAUUUUACAGCUUUGUGCUGUCCUCAAGUCAUUAGAAGAUGGUAAAAAGGUUCACUCAAUUAUUUGUGAAAGUGGCAUUGUAAUUGACGAUGGUGUUUUGGGUUCAAAACUUGUGUUUAUGUAUGUUACUUGUGGGGAUUUAAAAGAAGGGAGAAGGGUUUUCAAUAAGAUUGAUAAUGGAAAGGUUUUCAUUUGGAAUCUAUUGAUGCACGAGUAUUCAAAAACUGGAAAUUUUAAAGAAAGUUUAUAUUUGUUCAAGAAGAUGCAAAGUUUGGGAAUUGCGGCGGAUUCUUAUACAUUUUCUUGUGUUUUGAAGUGUCUUGCAGUUGUAGGAAAUGUAAAAGAAGGUGAAUCGGUUCAUGGAUUUAUGUUAAAAUUAGGUUUUGGAUGUAAUAACACAGUUUUGAACUCUUUGAUUACUUAUUAUUUCAAGAGUAGAAGAGUUAAGGAUGCACAUAAAUUGUUCGAUGAAUUGAGUGAUCGAGAUGUUGUAUCAUGGAAUUGUAUGAUAAGUGGGUAUAUAGCCAACGGUGUGGCUGAGAAGGGACUUGAGGUUUUCAAAGAGAUGUUAAAUUUGGGUUUCAAUGUGGAUUUGGCUACAAUGGUUACUGUUCUUUCAGGUUGUGCCAAUUGUGGCGUUCUUAUGUUCGGUCGAGCAGUUCAUGCUUUUGCAUUGAAAGCAUGUUUUUCUAAAGAAAUCAGCUUUAAUAAUACUUUGUUGGAUAUGUAUUCGAAAUGUGGAGAUUUGGAUGGUGCAAUUCGGGUUUUUGAGAAAAUGGGAGAGAGAAGUGUUGUGUCAUGGACUUCCAUGAUAGCAGGUUAUGCUCGCGAAGGAGUAUUUGAUGGGGCUAUCAGAUUGUUUCGUGGAAUGGUAAGGGAGGGUAUUGAGCCAGAUGUUUAUGCUAUAACAAGCAUUCUUCAUGCUUGUGCUUGUGAUGGCCUAUUGGAAAUUGGUAAGGAUGUGCAUGAUUACAUAAAGGAAAAUGAUAUGCAAUCAAGUUUGUAUGUGUCUAAUGCUCUUAUGGACAUGUAUGCCAAAUGUGGAAGCAUGGCAGAUGCUGAAUCAGUUUUUAAUCAGAUGCCUGUAAAGGAUAUUGUCUCAUGGAAUACCAUGAUUGGGGGUUACUCAAAAAAUAGUUGUCCUAAUGAAGCUCUGGAUUUGUUUGUUGCAAUGCUUCAAAAUUUUGAACCUGAUGGUGUAACGAUGGCAUGCAUUCUUCCUGCUUGUGCCAGUCUGGCUGCUUUAGAGAGAGGCCGAGAGAUUCAUGGUUACAUAUUAAGACAUGGAAUUUCAGCGGAUAGAAAUGUUGCCAAUGCAAUUGUAGACAUGUAUGUGAAGUGUGGGGUAUUAGUGCUUGCACGUUCACUCUUUGAUAUGAUUCCUGCAAAGGAUCUUAUCUCGUGGACAAUUAUGAUUGCUGGGUAUGGUAUGCAUGGGUUUGGUUGUGACGCUAUUGCUACCUUUAAUGAUAUGAGACAGGCAGGUAUUGAGCCUGAUGAGGUUUCCUUCAUUUCUGUAUUGUAUGCUUGCAGUCAUUCUGGAUUAGUUGAUGAAGGAUGGAGAUUCUUUAAUAUGAUGCGAUACGAAUGCAACAUCGAGCCCAAGUUGGAACAUUAUGCUUGUAUGGUUGAUCUUCUUUCCAGGACUGGCAACCUUUCAGAAGCAUAUAGAUUCAUUGAAAUGAUGCCUGUUGCACCAGAUGCCACAAUCUGGGGAUCUUUACUCUGUGGGUGCAGAAUUCACCAUGAGGUUAAAUUAGCAGAGAAAGUUGCAGAACAUGUUUUUGAGCUGGAGCCGGACAACACAGGGUACUAUGUACUUUUAGCCAAUGUCUAUGCAGAGGCUGAAAAGUGGGAAGAAGUGAAAAAGUUGAGGGAGAAAAUUAGCCGACGGGGCUUGAAAAAGAACCCGGGCUGUAGUUGGAUAGAGAUCAAGGGCAAAGUAAAUAUCUUUGUUGCAGGAGGUAGUUCUCAUCCGCAUGCCAAAAAAAUAGAGUCUCUUUUGAAGAGGUUAAGACUAGAGAUGAAGAGGGAAGGUUGUUUUCCUAAAACUCGCUAUGCUUUGAUUAAUGCAGAUGAAAUGGAAAAGGAGGUGGCUCUCUGUGGGCACAGUGAGAAAUUAGCCAUGGCUUUCGGGAUCCUGAGCUUGCCGGCAGGCCAAACCAUUAGAGUCACCAAGAAUCUGAGAGUAUGCGGUGACUGUCAUGAGAUGGCCAAGUUUAUGUCGAAGACUGCUCGAAGGGAGAUUGUCUUGAGGGAUUCUAAUCGUUUUCACCAUUUUAAGGAUGGGCGUUGUUCUUGCAGAGGCUUCUGGUGAAUCAGAUGGGCCAUAUGAAGGAACUCAUUAGAUAUAUUUGAGGAUUCCUACCCGUUCAUAAGUUGGUCUUCAGAAACCAUUUAGUUAGAUUAUUGUAUACUACGAUUCUUUGACCAAUUAGCUUAUCAGUGAUAAAAGUUUGAAGAGUUAGGACUCACGUGGUACGGUAGGGAAGCAUAUACUAAUUUACAGUCUCAAACUGUUCUGUAAUCCAACUAUGUAACUCAAAGGCGGUCGUUAAUAUCUCAUUGCCAAUCUAAGGUACCAUUUACUUCUUGCAUUGGAUUGAAAAUUCUGAGGAGUUAGAAUUCUGAGAUUAGGAGCGUGGAGUAAGAGUGUGAAUAAGUUGCUUACUCACACUGAAAUGAGAGUUUGGAAUAAGAAUUAGAAUCUUAUUUUUGUGUUUACAUUGUCUUAAGAGUGUGAAUAAGUUGCUUACUCACACUGAAAUGAGAGUUUGGAAUAAGAAUUAGAAUCUUAUUUUUGUGUUUACAUUGUCUUGAAUUGAAAGUGAAUUGUCUCAAAUUAUAAUUUUAAUAUUAUUUAAAGAAUUAUAGUUUUUAAUUACAAAGUGAAUAAAAAAAUAUAUAUGUAAAAUGAAUUAUUUAUUUUAUGAUAAAUUUAUAAAUUAAUAAUUAUUACUAAUAUUCUUAAUUAUGUAAAGCAUAUACUAAUUUUUUUAGAGUAAACUAUUUAUUAUUAUUAAUUAUUAAUAUUAAAUAAAUACAAUACUAUUAAUAUUAAAUAAAUAUAAUAAUAUUAUAUUUAAAUAAUAUAAUAAUAUUAAAUAAAUAAAUAUAGUAUUAUUAUUUUAAAGUAAAUGUAUAUUUUAAUAAAUAUAAAUUAUAUUAUAUUUAAUAAAAGAAGAGUUAAAAAAGAAGUGGUGAGAGUUUGAAUGGAAAUGGAAAUGGAAAUUUUAAUUCUCACUUAAAAAAUGAGUGAAACCCAUAGAGUGAGACUACCACUCUUCUUUUAAAAUGAGCAAAUAAAUACUGCAAGGCACCGGAAGGAGUCCACACUCCCUCGAUCCCACUCUAAAUAAACACUACGUAAAAGUAGCUUUUUGUAACAGAAGUUACUCGGCUUUAUGGCUGUUGAUGUAGAUCUGGGUAUUUUUGUUGUACUUUCUAAUCAUUCUUGAGACCGGUAGAAGUCAAUUAUUUUUCUUUCAGGUGGCUUCCUAAGGCAUCCUUACAUAACAUUUUCUUUCUUUUUCCCCCAGUCCCCAUCUCUUUCUAAGGCCAGCCAUUGUAGAGAGUUCGAGUGAAUAAUGAUAUAUGUAUACCUUAUUUUAGUACAAAAGUCGCAAAAUAUGAAAAAUUCAUAUGUUGUAUUUAAUUUUUUUGUCAUGUUUUUAAUUUCUUUUUCUAGUAAUAAUAUGCUAUUUUUUUGUGCACUCAUCAUUAUUUGGUUUGGUCACUCCUAGCAUGAAGUACCGCACGAUCUUGUAUCUUUUAUAAGGUAAAAGCAUGGUUGUGGCAAGAUUAUAAAAAUGUUAAUCUCAGCACCCAGCAUUCUUUCUUCUCCAUUUUCUUUAUUUACUCUCAUGAUAACUACCCCUUUAUUCCUAAAUCUAUUAAGCUCAGUCGGUGCUAUUUCUGAAGCGUCAAGGAGAUGGCAAUGAUUAUCAUCACUUAUUUAUCUGUUUAUUGUAAAUAUCUUUAUUAUUUUAACAUGGAUCCAAUGGCAAUUUACUUUACCUCCUCUGAAAAAUGCUUUUAGGCUUGUCUAUCUAAAAGCUGGCAUGGAUUAAGCAAAGGGAUUCAGGGUGCAUCUGUCAUUUAUGGUUUCCGCUUUAUUUCCGUCCAAUUGUGGGCGACAGACAAUAAUAAAUAAACCAUGUGCAAGGUGCAAUUACCCAAUAAACAAUACCAAUUACGAAAUUAUAGCCUACGGAGAACCCCUUUUUUUUUUUUUGUGGGGGGGGGGGGGGGGGGGGAGGGGCUCGGGUUGUGACUUGUGACGCCAUUCUUUUAUUGUUAUCAACUGUUUGUAUUCAAUACACAGUGACACCAAUUUCACAAUUGAAAUUCCUGUAAUUUGAAGGAUACGAUAGUACAGUGUGAAGGAAGUGGUUGGUCUCAAAUCUCAAUAGCACCACAGAGUUUGUAUAAUUCUUAGAAGAGUAGUGCUACACAUCUUAAAUUAUUUAGCUCAAAAAGUUAUCAUAAAUGAUGUGUCAUUCAUCAAUUGGUUAGUGAAGAUAAUAUAAUUAACUCACUUAGAACUUAUAAAAAAUUACUUAAUAAAUAUCAUAUUAUUUGAGUUAAAAAAAAAAAUUUAAGAUGUCUAUCAUUAAUCUUCUUAGAAACUUGUGUGCAAUAAGAUUGAGGUAAAUAGGGAAGAAAAAAGAUUAUGAAAUUGGAAAUUCAUCGACAUGGGGGUGGUCCAUUUUGGAAACCAAAGCCCCACAGAACCUCAACAUCCAAUUUCUAUAGCGAAGUGGCAGCUGGAUCCAACCAUCCAAGGAUUUGUCCUACAACAUCAAUUUCAUUUUUUUCGUAAAAAAAUUUCCAAUUACAGAUUCAUCAAACAUCACCGACUUGGCUUCCAUUUUCAUCCCUAUAUAAUUAGAUCAUAAUUACACAACUAAUGGCAUCGAAGCCAUCACUGAUGUCCCUAACUAUUUGUGUAACCGAACAUGACUUCGUAACUGAUUACAUUACAUUUUUUAUUUUUUUUUGUAUUGCGUGUAUUGCAUUAUGAUGCAUUAUAUUAUGUUGUACUGUAAUUCGGUGUAGUAUAGACUAUAUUAUAUAAAGUAAUACUAUUUUAUAUUAAUAUUAAAAUUAAAGUAAUAUUAUUUAAAUUUAUUAGUACUUACGGUUUUAAUUAUUAAUUAUUAAAUAAUUAUUUUAUAAUAUAAAAAUUAAUAAUAUAUUAUUAUUAAACAAUAAAAUGCUAUAACAUUAUUAAUAAAUUAUAUUUUUACAUAAUUUAUUUCAAUAUAUUAGUUAUCAUAAUAUAGUGUAAUUUAAUAUUAUAUGGUCAAAAUAUACUAUUAUAUAAGUAUAUAAUAUAAUAUUAAAUUACAAUUUAUUUUUAUUUAUUAACAUCAAACAUAGUUGUUUAAUUUAAAUUUAGUAUUUUAGUAAAUAAUAAAUGAUUAAAUAAAAUUAAAUACUUUAUACAUAUUUAAAGUAAAAUAAUUAAAAUGAUUCUAUCUAAUGAAAGCAAAAUAAUGUAUUAUUAUUUAUUUAUUAGAUAUUCAGGUUUAAGGUUUAUUAAUAUUUUAUAUUAUUAUUUAAAUUAAAUUUUUAUUUAAAUAUAAAUAUAAAUUAAUAUUAAAUAAAUAUAGAUUUACUAUAUAUGUGCUUAGCCUCAAAUCAUUUGUUAUAAUUUACGAGUAAUAAACGUUAAAUGAUUAUGUUUACAAUAUGAAUAUUAUCUAAACAUAAUACAACCUAAACUCUACUCCCUCAUAUGUUUAUUUUAUACACCUUUCAUUACGUUAACCAUCUUUUUAAAUACUACUAAAAAUUACAGCCAAAUAUGGGUCAGCAUAAGAGCAAUACUUUAACACCAAACAAUGCGAGCUGCCAAAUGCAUCCAUAAUGACUUUCAAACAAUUUUCAGCCAUAAAUGAUAAAUCACCAAGAGACAAUUCAAUUCAAGAUAUAGUCCUCGCAGCAGAUUUUGAUAGAAAUUAGAAAAGCAAUAGAUGGAUAGCAGCAAACAUGUUCUGUACUACGAUGAGGAUUAACAAAUUCCAUCUGUUCAGAUAUGUGGUGUUCAAUAGAGAGAGCUCAGAAGAGUUUGGUCAAGUGGCACUAUCAACUAUUUUACCUCCACAACAGUCUGCAAUCAAUUCAGUCCACCAAACCUACUAAAUAUUUGUUCUCUUUUUAAUCCCCGUCAUAUGAAAGAAUAGUAUUGAAAGAGAAAUGCGGGGAAAAUGAAUCCCUGUGUGAGCUUUUUUGUUUUAUGUUUUACUACUGCUUGGACAGAGAUGAAUAACAAACCGCAUCCAAGUAAAAGCAAACAGGAUGAGAACAAAGUGUUUCCAAAGUUGGCUUUAUUAUUAUUAUAGCAAACAAAUUAAUCUCAAGUUAAGCACAUAAGAUGGACAGGGAGGCUGAAUAAAUGAAAAGCACGAACAACUGAAUGCUUGUACCUCAAGAAAAAUGCACAAUUAUCUUAUGCUGUAAGGGAAAACACUUUACCCCUCUUUAGCUUCUAACAAUACAAACAAUAGUGACAAAAAUCAACAGCAAAAGGACGAAACCGCCGAUCCUUCCUCAUAUCGUGAUCAAAGCAUAAAAAGUUUGAACACACUAAUUCAAUGAUUCCUGGGUCUCUUUUCUACUUUCCCAAAUUCCCCUCUACGAUCCUUAAUAAUUCAAUGAAUACAAUAAUAAAUCAUUAGGAAUCUCACUUCUAAUCACCAAUAUUUCCUAAUCUAAAAUCUAACCAAUCAAUCAAUGAUAUAUCCCCAUCGUUCCUUUAACCACACCAUUUCGAGAGAAGAACAACAAAAACAAUGAGAAAGACAAUAGAGGAAAGCCCAAUUGCAAGACCAAGAACAACCUUAUUUGGCCCGUGAUGGUGCUCCUUCUGGCUAGAAUCAUCAUCACUAUCGUCAUCAUCCGACGAAUCAUUUUCACUAUCAUCUGAAGAGUUAUCCUUAGCUGGUGGCGGGGAUAUUGGCAGUCCAUGCUUAUCGCAAGGAGCAAUCCCAAGCUUCAAUUUUGACGACAAAACCGUAUGAUUGUAACACAAAUUGGUAUUCCCACCAACCUUAAACACUUGCAAUUUCUCUAAAAUAGAAGCAUUAAACGGCAAAACACCAUGAAAAUUGUUGUUCUGAAGAUUCAAGUACCUUAGCUUCUUCAAAUCAGAAAAGAACCUGGGUAUCGUCCCAUUCAACUGAUUUGAACUCAGAUCAAGAUGAACCAUGUCUGUGAGUGAUGCCAUUGACUCAGGAACCGACCCAGAUAACGAAUUGGAAGCCAAAGACACAAUUUUUAACGCAAUCAAGUCACCAAUGGAAGAGGGUAUCUCUCCAUUCAGUCCAUUUGAAGUAAGAUUCAAGUGUUGAAGAUUCUCAAGAAGAGUAAUUGAAGUGGGUAUCUUUCCUUUGAGCUGAUUACCUGAAAAAUCAACAUGGGUGAGGUUCGAAUGCAGGUGCUUUGGAAUAUAACCAGUGACGUUGGCAUUAGAAAUGGUGACUGAUCUCAGCUUGUGCAUGUUACCAAUUAUGACAUAGAGGCCACUAGCAUUUACAGGGACAUUAGUAACAGUAAGAUCUGUAAGGUUGACAAAGCGAGAAAGAAAGACACCGGAGAGGUGGUGAAGCGAGUGAAUGCAAGAAAAGGAAAGAAGUGAAAGAGAAAGGUCAUUUGGAAAAUGAAUGGGAGCGAUAGGGCAGUUGAAAAAUGUCAGAUUUUGGAGAGUAGAGAGAGAUUUGAGAGCUGUGGAGGAAAGUGAGAUGUCAUCUGAACAGUUGGAGAGACGGAGAGAGAGGAGGUGGCUGAAGGGUUUUGAGGAGUCGCAUUUGUAAAGAGAGCAAGCGUUUUUUGAGGGAAUGUUGAGAGAUUGGAGAGCUCUUAUUUGUUUUGGGUCUAAAGGAGAAGGAUGUGAGGAAGCUACUGGCGUGGGUGUGGGUGUGCGUGUGCGUGGGGUUGGAGAAGAGGUGGGGGCUGAAGCGGGAGGGAGAGUUUUGGUUGGUUUAGUGGUGCCUGAGGAGGUUACGGUGGUUAUGGUGGCGGUGGUGAGGAGGAUAAGGAGGAGGAAGAGGAAUGGCAGGGGUGGUCUCAUGGUUCUGAGAGAGAAAGUGGAGUGUGUCACUGUGAGUUUUGUAAGAAGUGACUAGUGAGCAAGUGAGGAGGAGGAUUUGAUUUACGAAUUCAAGUGACAGUCUGUGCUUCAAUUUAUGGUAUUGUGCUUGGACCUUAUUACGAUAGUGCACAUGCUUGUUUAAUGAGUUUCAUUUUGAUUAUGCAGGGGGUAAUAACGUCUCUAUGAGACUUUUUUUUUACAUGAAAAAAAAAAAUUUGGUUCUAUUUUUUUCUAAAUUGUCUCAGAAAUAGCGAUAUAAUUUUAAUAAAUUUUUAAUAUUUGAAUCAUAAUUGACGCAGCAGUCAUUUAUAAAUUAUAAAAUCAUAUUCUUUUAUUUAAAUUUCCUUUUUUUUUAAUCACUCGUGUGAACCGAAUUUCCAAGCUACAAGCGUCAAGGUGCGAUUGAACUUUUAACAGGUGAUUUUAGAAAGUAAUUAAAAAAAUUAAAGAACAGGUUUUACAAAUAAAAAAAUCAUUUUUAAUUUUAAAAUGUGGCAGCUGUAAGCAAGCUUAAGCUGUCUCCCCCAAGUAAAAGUAGAGACUAGAGAGUAGUAAUUAGUAAAACCCAAAUUAUAUUAUCAGCUGAACUUGCGUGGCAGGCUAAUGGCUUCCACUAGGACCGGGCCCAAGAAAAACCGAUCCAACACUGGGUUCGGAUCGGAUCGAAUUCUUAACAAAAUCCAAUUCAAUGGAUUUUUGGCUUUAAAAUAAAAAAUAAAUUAAAGAAAAUUAAAAAUUGAAGCUAGUGAAAUACAAAUAGUCACACAUGUAUUUGGCAUUUCUCUCUUGAAGAAACUUAGAAACACACAAAGCCUCAUUCUCAACUCUUCAAGAAGAUAAAAAACACUCAAAUCAUAAAGUCUUUACUCUUUAUAGUUUUACACACGCACAGACACAUCGGAAAAGCAAGUGGCAGUCGCCCACCAAUCCACUAUCCAACAACGCAGACGUAGACGCAGCCAGCGAUGCCGCCCGCAAUCACCGCUAACAUCAAUCGAUCGUCUGCGACCAAAUCUGUUGCUCCAUGCCUCGACCAUCACCAAGUUCCUCCAAGCUCCACUAAGACCCAGCAACCCGAAUUUUCUCUUUUGAAUUUUUGAUUGUAUAUAGUAAUAAUAUAUUGUGAUAUGUUAAUUUUUUAGUUGUUAAUUGUUAUAAUAAUCGACUUUUUUUUUAAUUUUUUCUCUUUUUUUUGAAGAAUUUAAUUAGGUUUGUACAUGAGGUAAUCUUAAAUUACAUGCUAGAAUUUGAAUGAAAAAGAUAAAAAUGUUAUAUCUUUCUAUAAAUUGGCCCGAACCAUAUUUAAUCUGAACCCGAUCCAACCCAAAUUCAAUAUGAUUUUUUAAAUUGGGUUAUAGGUUCGAGUUGAGUUUGAGUAAAUUUUUGUCCAAUUCAAUCAAUCCGAAACUUGAUCGUGUUGAUCUGAAUCGAAUUUUACCCAACCUUAACCACCAUGCACCAUCACCUCUCUUUUUCAAAUUUUGGAAACUAAUGACCACAUUUAUUAGCUAGAUUCCAUACUCAGUUUAAUUAACUUGUUUUUAAUCUCCCUUUUGUUUGUAAAUAAUAAAUUCAGUUGUUGUAAAAUUUUACCAUCUAUUAUUGCAUUGAUUAAUUUUUAUCAUGUAUAUAUAUUAAGUGUAUUUUUAAAGUUCUUGUCUUUCAUAAAGCAAAAAAUAAAUAAAUAGAUAAAAGUCUUGACAAUAGGAUUAGGAACCUGCCGCCAAUCUAGUUACUAUCAAAGGCAAGUGACCAUUUGCUUUUUAUUUACGCAAUCAAAUAUAAAAAGAUAUAACUUCUCGGGCAUACACACAUCAUUUAACUUUUAUAGUUUCCUCACUGUUACGUUUUCCUUCACUUUUUCCCAAUGAACUGAAUAAUGAUAAUUUUCAAAAAUGCAAGGAAGCCAAAGCAAUUUGCCGAGGACUUUUGCUAAUUUAUUAUUAUUUUUUUUUCUUUGAUAAAUAUAUCUUCAACUUCAACUUCAAGGCGUUUGCUAUCAUGCUUUAUAUUAUUUUAUAUGCGAAAAAGGGGUGUGGGGGAUGUUUUGCUGAGUCUUUUUGGUAGAAGAGUUCAAUUACAAUUAAAUUGGCUCUUUUUUUUUUUUCCCCCUUCAUUUGCAAUUAAAAGAAAAAAAUAAUUGAAUGCAAUUGAGAGCCAGACACUUUGGAUGUAGUGAAAUGGAAUAAAAUGCAAAAAUAUGAUUGAAUGCAACCGAAUGUAAAAACAAUUGCCAUGAAAUCAAUGCUGCUUUAUCAUUGUGGAUGCUGAUUUGAUUAACUAUAACUAAAGUCUCAACCAAUUAUUUAUCUAACCGCUCCAAUAAUUAUUUUUUUUCCAAAAAAAAAAGUGGAUUUAGAAUGCAUACUUGGUAAUUAUUUAUCUUCUCUAAUAGUUUCGUUAGCAUUAAUUAUUAGAGUGAGCGUAAAGUAUAUGUAAAAUCCAGUGUUUGACUUUUUUUUAAAGCAAAAAUUGGUAGGACCAAAUUUAUAUCUUUUCAUUUUUGAGUAGGAAACAAACGGUCGAAUAUAAUGGAUUGUGGUCGUGUGACCGUUGGAGAGGCAAUUUCUUUUGCUCACAUGAAGAAGGCAAGGCAGCCAACCAAAAUCUAGUGUCGCUAAAUCAAGCUCCUUUUCAGAAAUAAAAUAAAAAUGAUAAAUUCAAGAAAUUCCCAAGAAAUUAAUUCAACAGAAGGCUCAUCUCAUUCAUUCUCUCUACUGCUUUUGUUUUCAUAGAAGGGAAGUUACAACCAAUCUUUAGCAACUUGAAUCUAACACACUGUAUUUGCAUCAGUCAAUAAAGAAAAUAAUAUCAAUACAAAAUGUGAUCUUGAAUUCCCCCAAAAAAUGGUGAGGUUCUUCUUAGUAACUCACUCAGCAAUCUAUGGAGAUGCAGGUUUGGCCAAGGGUAGCGCUGUUGGUUUUCUCGACGAAGGGAUCGAUCUUGACCCAGACAAGAGAGAAGACAGAAGCCAACAGCACUGACCAUAAGACAACAAUGGUUGGAGUUCUGUUUUGGCGACCCAUGAGACCCUUAAGGAAUGGAUAUAGAUGAACAAUCACCCAAAAGGCAAAGAACACUUUGCCGAAAAGCGGUCCCCAUGCUUCAUAUCCUUUGUUCAAUGCGUCGGAGAAUCCAGCAACAACGCCUACCAUGUUGACAAUGAUAAGAGAUGUUGGAGGAAUUAGAAGUGUUGUCCACUUGAUGAUGUAGAGUUCUCCGAAUUCCAAAUCAUCUGCUGCUUUUGAAGUGACUGUGAAGUUGGUGUCAAGGCCUGCCAGCAUCUUUAGAAAUCCUUGGAAGACAGCAAACAGAUGAGCCGAAACGCCUCCAAUCACCCAAAACUGCUCAUUACGCCAUAGGUCCUCAAUAGUGACCCCACUCCAUCGUAGUUCAAGCACACUGGUCGCAAUGAUGGAGAGGAAGAGCCCAAGAAACAGAACGCUUGCCAGGUUUGAGAGCUGGAACCAAGUGUAGAAAAAGUUAUCAAGUUAGUUCUCUACUUAAAAGCUAACUAACUAUGCAAAAGUGUAAACGAAUAAGGCCGGAAUUUACCGUUGGUAUAAUGAAUUUUCCCGUGAGAAGGCAAAUUGCAGGCAAUGAGCAAUAGGCAAUGAGAGGGAGUGAGGUAAAUGGGUAGACAAUGGUGUUUAUGUAUGCCAGCCUUUGCAACAAUUUGAGGCGGCCUCCUCCAAAACCAUACCAGAGGGGACAGUGUCUACUCAGGAAAAUCUCUACAGACCCGAGUGCCCACCGAAGAACCUGGUGAAGCCGAUCAGAAAGGUUGAUGGGUGCAGAUCCUUUGAAAGCAGGCCUUAAGGGCAUGCAGUAUAAUGACCUCCAUCCUCGGCAAUGCAUCUUGAAACCUGUUAAGAUAUCCUCUGUCACCGAUCCAUAAAUCCAACCAAUCUGAGAAAAAGAAGAUUGAAACCAAACAUCUGAAUUAGUAGUCCAUUAAGUGGGUGAAAUGCCUGAGUACUGUUGAAGAAAAUUGCAGUAAAGUGAACGAAUGCCACUAGAGCAAGAAUAAAUGCUCCACCUCUUUUCCCCAUUCGGUCUUCUCUUCGUAGCCACAGCUUAUGACAUGAAUUGCUUCCUUGAUAAGGGUUGAAGGAUUGGCGGAAUCAGGAACUCCUCCAUUUUCCAUUAGUGUGGACUCGAUGAAGACAGAAGAUAAGCCAAAAGUCUUCUCAAAACUCAUCUGCGAGAUCAGCAUUGACCUCUCAUAGUCAUCAUAAUCUGCAGGAGAAACCCAAACAUAAAAUAUUAAUUGAGAACCUGUUAAUUAUUAGCGUAACUUUAAUAGCUUAGAAAUUCGAACUUACUAUCAAUCUCCUUGAGGUUAAAGAUAGCAGCAUCUAGUUCUUCACGUUUUGCAUCUCGGUAAGCCUCUGAGAGAUCUUUACCGGGCUUCUUAGAGGGGCAGCAGCAGGAGCAGCAGCCACACCAUGAGCAAGAUGAGGAAGUCUUGGGUAAGGUGGGCAUUGUAGGAGGUCCAUAGCCAUAAAGUGCUUGUCUAUUGAACAUACAACCUGUACCCACAUACAUAGGUCCUUGGAUUCCAUCCAGUCCUUUCAUGUUAACCUGAGAUUAAAAUCCAAAAAUAGUUGGGAAUGAGAAUGCUCGAAAUUCAGGUAUUCGCACAGUUAUUAAGAUAUUAUUUUGCUGCUGAAUUCUCAAAAAUUGAACUUAUACAUAGAAUGAUGGAAUUUAUACUCAGCAUGACAAUUAGUCAACAUUUGCUGAGGAGAUUGAACUUAUGAACUAGAUUAAGCUUACGUCGAAGAAAACUAUGUUGCGAUUGGCAUAUCUAUCACUCUUAUCAAUGCCAUCAAAUCUCUGAGGGAACUGCACAUAGCAUACGUCUCGACCAACUUGAGGGUCCAUCAUGAAGCACAUUGCCUCUCGAACUGCCUUGCUAUUGUUAACAUAGUGGUCACAAUCGAGAUUGAGGAUGUAAGGAGCAUUAGUGAGAACUGCAGAUACCCUCACCUGUACGAACCCAUUCAUUGCAGUCUUAAUAUGACAUUAAAUCGUGUUCUGUACACUAGUAAUCUUAAACCGUGUGCACAUACCAGAGCAUUUUCUGCACCAGCUUUUUUGUGGUGUUGGUAGCCAGGCCUUUUCUCUCUGGAAACAUAUACCAGUCGAGGAAGUUCAUUUCCCUCAAUGUCACAGGCACCGCUGUGUCCAAGGAAAACCUGAAAAGGGCAAAACAGCACUUGUGUCAGAAUUUAACCUAAGUGCAGUUCUUUGUGAUGUACAUAUGAAUGCACAGAGACCGAUAUCUGAUGCACGCUUAAGUGAUCUAUUGAAAGGAUGCAAGAAACAGUUUAGGCCCUACAUAGAGUUACCAAGCUUUCUGAAAAUACCCAGAACUUUACAGAUUCGAAUAUUUCUAAAACAAAUCUACAACAUGUUUCCAUUGUUUCUAGAAACAGCGCCUAAAUAACCACCAGUCGAUUGUCUUAAACUUCAAGUCUAUAAUAGAGGCAUUAAAAUAUCUAAUAGAGGCAGUUUCCUACUGUUCUGUAGUUAGUCGUAAAUGUUUUGAUUCUGAUUUGUAGGGGUUGGUUGCUGACCUGUAGGGAUAGACUAUUCUCCCAAGAUAAGUAGUUAGGCUGCGUGUAUAUAAGAAUGUAUUGAUCGGUUGUUUAUACAGAAACAUAAAAAAUAUUUUUCUACAGCUUAAAUAACACAUAGUGGCAGCAGUCAAAUUUGGUGAUUUCUUUGUCUACCCUUCCAAGUAAUCAGAUAUCAGAUUGCUCAAAAUAACAAAAUUCUUAUUUGAUUAAUAGUAUAUAUAAUAAACAGAUAACUAAAGCAAAAGAUAGAUGGUUUAACCUGAAUCAUGCCAGGAUGGUCACGUGUGUUAUUUCCUGGCCAAGAUGUUCCAUCUUGCAUUGUCCAUCCUUCUUCAGGUGUUUUUUGAGCCUUUGCUACCAAAGCAUUAAUUCUGACUUUGUACUCUUCAUAAUCUCUCUGUAACAAAAAGAAAACAUAAGAUAUAAUAAGGCUGCUGUGCAAAUUUUUAAUACAUUACUUAUUCACAAGCAUUCAACACUUUGUGUCUAGAUUUAGCCUCAAAUACUAACUUUCAUGGCCCUGCGUUCUUUUACAAAAGAAGGUUGAAUUUUGUCCUUCAAGUAAUCAAUCUUCUGUGAGAAGUAGAACUCAGGUGCCCGGGGUUCAAUUGAGUACUUCUUGCAGAAUGGAACCCAUUUCCUAGCGAAGUCAGCUGUUUGUACUAGAGUUUCAAAUGUAAGCAUGGCAGCACCAUCAUCAGAUACAUAGCAGGAGACUUUGUCCACAGGGUAGUCCAAAGCAAGGAUGGAAAGCACCGUAUUGGCAGUGAUCAAUGGAGGUUCCUUCAACGGGUCAACUGUACUCACAAAGAAAUCCACGGCAGCAAGCUCGGAGGGUUCACCCUCUCUUUCAAACCUGGCGUGCCAAACAAAUGGAACCAUUUUAUCUACGCACUAAGCAUGAAAACAGACAGGUAUAUACAGAGAUAAUAUUUGCUUUAUUACUAAGUAUUGAUAGCUCCAAUAUUCGCUUUAUUACUAACAACUGAUAGCUCUCUCACGGUCCGCUGAAAGCAAUGUGCGGAAGUUUUGCAUUCAAGAGAGAUGUACCUUGCAGAAAGCCUGUCGAUGUAUGUUUCCCUAUCAACGGGAGACCAUUUGGGGAACUGAUCCAACACCCAAGAAAAAGCAAACCAGAUCUCACAAAUGACCGAAGUGAGCCAUAGACCGAGAGCACUGUCUACAGGAUGUGUCACUCGGUAAUGGAAGAAAAGCCCCAGAAUGAUUAGUCGCACUAUAAUCACAGUUCUGUAAGGUCCAAGUUUGCUUCUUGGAACCGGAAUAAGAGUAGAAAGUGGCAGUGCAGCCUCCGGGGACCUGCAAAAGCAAACAUGAAUCUAAGUGAUACAUGCUUUAUUAUAAAACCAUAGCAAGUCAGAUUGCAGUAGAAGAUGAUGAGAACAUAGAAAAACAGGUAUUAACACUAAUUUGAUUCCAGUUGGCAUUGCAGCCAUAUACUCACUGCUGAUUCUCUUCCAUCUGCUGCGCAGGUGGAACUUCAGCCUCUUUUUCAGCCUUUGCCGCAGUCUUUUUCUUCUUGUUCUUUUUGUCCUUCCAACUCUCUACUCUAUUUUUCCAAAUUGGAUUCCCCGAUUCGUCAUUGUAUUCUUCAUGAAAAACACCAGAUUAGACAAUAAUCGAUAAUGAUUUAUUAAAGCUUGUAGAAGUGUGACAAAUAUGAUGCAACAUAUCGGAGAAACUUACCGCUGUCCACCGUAGAUACAUUACUUAUAUGUCUUGCAUGAAUUCCAGUGUUCUGUAUAAACCAAGAUACAUGGUGGAAUUAAUGCCGUCAACAUGAUUAUAUCAUGAGACUUUGCACAUAAACAGCUAGCAAGAAUUAGGGAGCCAAUAUGAAGACAAUCAUACCUCGGAAUUACUGAGUUGAGCUGCCAUCGUGGAUCGAUUGCCAGGUUCUUUAGUUCCAACAUCAUCCAACAAGUUCUCUGGAGAUUUUAAAGCAAUGCAAUUAGCAUAUUGAACGACAAAGGGCCACAAAUUAACCGGAAAAAGAAAAUCAUAUUACAGGAAACUGAGAUCAACCCUGUCAAAAUGGAAGGACCGUCGCUAACUGUGUUCAGGACUCACAAUCAAUUCCAAGGUGUAUUAGUAUUCUCUUGCUUUUCUCUCAUUAUUCACAAGAUUCACUAGAGCAGUGAGAAAAUUGAGAAUAAAAAUCUUAGACAAUGAUCCCUACUAAGUGCUUAAGAAAUUCUUCUUUCUCUAUUGCCAAUCAUCCAAAUUCCAAGACGUUCAUAAGUUAGUCUACAACUUCACCAAUUUAUCUUUAACAAAGCAUCAUUGAAUACUACAGUGAAAAAGAAUGAAUCUACUAAUAAAUCAAGUAACAUCAGCAAUAAGCAAAUGAGUAACUCACAUUCUAGUACGCAAAAAUCAAACCUUGUAAAGCCGAAACUGAAACGUUUGCAAACUAGAGAGACUUACCAUCAUAAGGAGAGGCACAGCGCAAGCAAGCUUUGCGGCCUUCCUUGAUCUCAUCAUCGAAACAAGAUUUGCAAAUGGGGAAAUUACACUCACUGCAAGCUACAAACACUUCCCCGUUAGCAGUAAAACCCACUUGAUCACCGCAAGUGUUGCAUACAGGAGCCCCAGAUUGCAUCAUCCUGAAUACACUUCUCCAAACUACCCACCCAAUACAAGAACCCCUGUUUGGGUGUCGUUUUUAUAAGAAAGACACUAACCAAAGCUAGGGCGUUUCGGAGUUUGUUCUGAAAACAAGGCGAUGGCAUUUUUUUUUUAAUGCUAAUAAGAGGGCGGUGGUUGGAGAGUUGAGGUGUUGGUGUCAAUGUUUUGCAGGCAAGGAGAGAUGAGAAGCAAUGUCUCUGUUGCAUUCUCCUCUGAAAAGAUUUGAAAUUUUUGCGGGAAGUUGAAGGAAGGUUUCGGUUGAGCAGGGUACAUCUUUAACUGACAUUUCUUCUCUAUCAAGUCCCCUGUACAGAGGGAUAGCAAUUUUGCCCACAAAUCUGUAGUUACCCGCCUUACAAACCUCUCUACUAAACGGUAAUUUUACGGAUAAUGGAUGGUUUUAGUAAUAUAAAUUAAAAUGAUGCAGAUAGCAGACGAAUUUAAUUAAUAUAUAUAUAUAUGACAUUUCUUUAUCUUUUAAAUUGUGUAAUUUUUGACAUUUUAAUCAAGAAAAUAUAAGGUAAAAUUAACAAUAGUUAGACCUAACUAAAAGUUUGAUAACGAGCUGAUCAGUUAAUCAAUUGGGCUUGGAAAAGUACUAAAGUUAUUUUUUCUGUUUUUACGGUAUUGAUUAAAAUGUCAGUGUCGCUGAUUGUCCAAGCAUUGCAUAUUGAUACUGUUUUGUACAGGUUGCUGUAAAGCUUAGCACGUACCUAAGUUAAUUACUAGCUAUUUGCUUUUGGUUUCGUUUGUUUAUUAUAAGAAGGGAUGGUAUACUAUUGAAAAGGAACUGGAUUUUGUGCUAAUGUUUAAAAUCUCAAUCUAAAAUAUCGGUAAUUUUGUCUCAAUCUAAUUAAAGUUAAAUUAAUUCACUUGUGUGUGUGUAUCCAAUAAUUUAUAUUUUUAAGUUGGGCACCCGCAAUAAAUUUAUUGGAUGCCAGUGCAAAUUUGAUAAUUGUUCAAAUUCGUAAUAUACGGGUUUUUCAAAGAAAAAGAAAAUUUGAAUCCUGCUGUGUCCGCAGUGAAGGUUUAGUAAUUUAAAUUUUUUUUGACGGUGCAAGCCGCACCUUACCCUACCCAUUGCAUCUCUACUACACCGAAUAAAACUGUGCAACACAGCACAAAACGAAAAACAAAAAUAAGUAAAGAUAGGGCCUCAUUUAAAAAUAAAGUAAAUUAACAUUUUAUUAAAUUUCCUGUGAAAAUAUCAUUGUUUUGUCAAGGAAGUGUCUCUAUUACAGCUUUUCUUGUCUCUAUUAACAUUUUGUCAAUUUUAUCUGAAUAAAUAUUGUUCAAACAAAAUCUGCCUUCCUUUCGGUGUUCUUCAAUUAAAUCGCCAGAUGCCUAAAUGAGGAAUGGGGAUAUCCGAAUAGAAUUUGUAUAAUUCACCAAAAAAGAAAAAAAAAAGGACUGUAUCUUUUUAGCUCUCUUUCAAGUAAUUACUUAAGGCUCUUUCACUAAUAAAUUGACACAGAACUUGCAAAAAAUUCCAAAAUUUGUUAGAGAUCAGACACAGAUCGGGCGAAUCACUAGUUAAGUGAUUCGAUUAUAUUAAUAAUUUCAAGAAACAAAAGAUAUUCAUGGGCGUUAAUAGACCGAAUCAUGUUACAUGGCAAAGAUAUAUUACUGGACCAACAGCGAGGCUAUCUAACACAGUUGGUCAGGGACACCUAUGUGCAGUGCAGCCACCUUAAGAUCAUCGAGGUGUAUUUCUCAAUAACAGUAAAACUCCAAUAAAAGCAAUACAGGUUUCUGGGCCAUGCACUCCAGGAAUAUGAAUUUUUCAGUCAGAUAACGGCGGCUUCGAUCUAUGAAAUUGAAUAGACCUUUACUACUUUGGAAGUGUCACAGACAACAAGGUUUUCAGAUUCAGUAGGGGUUGUGCAGAGCCAAUUAACCUGCCGUAGUGAGAGACAGAAAUAAAAACUUAAAAAAAAAAAAAAUAAUAAUAAUAAUAAUAAUAAAGAAAAAUUGACAAGUACAAAACCCGACCACAAGACUUCCACCAAAGCUUACCUUUUUGUUCAAAUUGAUGUUCUUAAUUAGAAGAUCAUUGUUGAUACUAGUCUGCACCCCCUGAAAUCUGGAGCAAUCCCAGACCUUUACCAACUUAUCAUUACCACCUGAGAUUAAAUACUUUCCCCUCUCCCCAAACAUUGAAAAUGCCACACAAGAAGCAGCAGCAGUAUGGCCACCAACAGAAUAAUCUAGAUGCAGCCUCUUUCCACCACUUUGAUCUAGAAUUUCCAUUUCUGCAUCCCAAAUAUUAACUUUUGAUGUGGAUUGAGAGCCCUUCAGCGGUUUUGUGGUACUUUUUGACCUACUUAUAUUAAGUUCUGAUUCAAUAUUGAUCACAUCAACAACACCAUCACCCUUAGCAACGACACAUAUUUUGUUUGUUUUGUCUAACAUAUCAGCAUCUGGAAUUGCUAUUGCAUGCACAAAAGCAGGGUUAUAGCAUUGCCCAGCAUUACCAUUGUUUUCAGGUAAGCCUGCACCAACCAAAACAUGUGAAUAAAAAUCUAAAAGACCAGUAGAAACAUAACACCAAUUUAAACUCCCUUUUAGUUUUUAGGGCCAUCAGGAUUGACUUCAUGUUAGCACUCCUUACGGUUUAAGAUGUAUGUUUUUCAAAAACCCACCAAGGGAGAGGCAACACCAAUCAUACCUUUUAAAAGACAUAAAACUUGUGGACAUAUAUCAUGAAAUAUUACAAGGCAAACAAAAUUAAGACUCGUAUCAUACCAAAAUUCACAAUCUUGUUUGGACGCCCUUUGGAGAAGUCCCACAUGACAAGCUUUGAAUCCAGACCUCCAGAAAUGACUGUCAGGAUUACCCAAAAAGGGGAAAAAAAGAAGAAGAAAAAAAACAGACACCAGAGUAUUUAAGAUGCAUGUUUGAUUGAUUAUGCUGAAGUACAAGAUGAAAAGUCAUCUUCUUAGUGACUUGGUCUAACAGACCCAACUUAUAGCAGAAUUGUACAAAUUUCACACUUAAGCAAUACAGUUCCAAACAUCAACCAGAACCAUAAACUUGAAAAAUAUUACCUUCCCAAGGUUUCCAGGGUAUGAAUUGCACACUGCUACAGAUCUAUGAUGCAUAGUUAAGUUGACGGAAUUAUGAUUAAAAGCCUACAAGUAAGAGAAAUUAAGUAAAUAAUAACCCCCCCCCCCCCCAAAAAAAAAAGGCUCUAAACUAAUUUCGAGAUAGUUUCAUACAACAUUUAUAUGAAUUUUUCUGGAAGAAAGAAAACUGUCAUCACAUCAGAUACACAGCAGAGAUAUUUAUGAGAAACCAAGCCCAUGUUGCAUGCUUACAAGGUGCAUGUUAAAGGACAACGAUAAGGUAAGCUUGUCAUAUAUGAGGUAGGAUACACUUGAAUGGCCAGCUCUCAGUGAUUUAUAAAGGCAAUGCUGGCGAAUAUCAAUGAUCUGCCACAUGAAUGAUUAUAAGCAAUUAUUCAGAAACAAAAGCAUUACUGAAAAAAUAUAAACAUUUUUUUCCCUAGUUUCAGGCAACAGGAAAUAAAAGAUGCUGUUAAGCAUUACGAUGUUGAAUUCUUUGUAAGAGCCAGUGAGAUAGAGAAAAAGAGACAUCCAAACCAAAACUAGAAAUAACAUAACAAACAAUAUUUGCAGUUAUGAAUUAUCAAUAAUAUGACUGCGAGAAAUCUCAAUACCUUAACAUCACCACCAUCAUCUGCGCAAGCAAGAAAAGAUGACUUAGGGUUGCACACGAUCUGCACUUGUCAAACAAGCUUCACUUUAGACAGCUUGCGAUGUAUCAUCACUAUUAGAUACAACCAUCAAGAUCUCACAAUUUGGGCAUAUGCUAGAACAAUAAGCCAAUCAACUCCAAUAAAAAGGCAGAUAAACACAAAGAGUAACACAGUUCAAAAAUCUAACUAUAUAUUAUCCACGUUACCUGAUUUAUCUCCUCUUUGUUAUAGUUGUAGCUCUCUAAUGGCCUCCACGAUGCAGGCUUGAAAUGCAUGGAGAAUGAUAGGUUAGUGCAGAAGAGAAACAGGGAUUACCGUUGAGGAAUUAUGCUUAGAACAAAAGAGGGUUACCAUAUGCACAUCAAAAGAUUUGACUUCCUUUCCCGAGGAAACGUAGAUAAUGUCUUCAUUCCCUGCAUUCGACAAUGAUCAUUAACAAGAAAUAUGAGUCAGCAGCUUUCAGAAGUUGCAUACAAUCAUUCAAGUCUAAACAUUUGCAACUAGCUCUUUUAUGCUCGUUAGAGAUUCAAGUGCUAACUAACCAGGAGCCUUUCUAAGAAGUAGUCUCAAGUGCUUUUCAAAAAGAAAGGUGCUUUUACUCAAACAAACACACACACACACAAUACGGAAACACUCGCAAGGUACAGUAAGAUACAAAAGUCGCUAACAGAGCAAAGCCAAAGUAUUGAAGAAAAUCACCUGACUUGAAACAAAGUGAAGUAACAGGUCCAUUUCCAACAUCAGUGACAAGCUGCACGUCUUUGCUUCUCAAAUCAAACCAGCAAAUGCAACCAUCCUAUUUUUCAUUAAUUAAUGAACCAAUUAAUAUGAGUUCAUUAUUAUAGUAAAUAGAAAUCGAAACCGUAAAGUUCGAUGAAUAUAAACUAGUACCUCCCCAGAAGUGGCAACAAAGCCAGGGCGGUCACGUGAGGCUAUGCAGCACGUGGCAGUGGCCUUGUGACCUCUCAACCGUCGUGGCUUCGCCUCUGCGUCGGUCAUACUCGUACCGACCCGUCGGCCCUCCCAAAGGCUUGUCGGUCGGGGCAGUGUUGUUCUUCUGUUUUCUUAUUGGGUUUGGGCCUCGUUUCCUCAGCCUCCGUAGCCCAAGUGUUGAUGAUUCAGGCCAUAAGCCCAUAACUAAAACUUGCUUCGGUUUAAAAGAAUCAUUAAAGCAACGUCGCCCGACUGAUGGUGUUGAUUAAGUUUCAUUGGAUCUAGUAGGAAUCACAAAAUCUUUCAUGGGUAAUUUCGAUUAACAAUAACUAUAAUAUUUAUGGAUAUUGGGUUUGGGUUGGAUGAGGAAGGGAGUACAAAAUCAAGCCACAUCUCAACAAACAUUUAGAGUUUGGAAUUAUGUAUUAGUGUGUACUAGGAAAUUGGGGAAUAGGAUGAGAAUAGGUAAAUUGGUCCUGACUUGAGGAUUUUACAUACUAAAUUUAUUAAAAAAAUUGAAUGGGGAAUGAGGGCUAAAUUUUUAAUUUGGUGAAGAAUGGAGGAGAAUUUAGUCUGCUCCAAUGUCGUCCCUAUAUCAAUCCUAUAGGAAAUAAGUACACAUGUAUUAUAUAAUAAAAAUAAGGGUAAUUACUCAAAGUGGUCUCCAAAUACGAGAAAUACCUAGGGCUUCCCUCAUUGAUCGGCAGAAAUGAUGAGUUUCUUUAACGAUGUUAAACUUAAGGUGCUGUAUAAAAUUUCAAGCUGGAAUCAUAAGAUGUUUUCAAUUGGGGGUAGAAAAGUCUUUAUCAAAGCAGCAGCUCAAACAAUCCCACCUUAUGCAAUGAGCAUUUUUAAGCUUCCAAGGGGUUUGUGUGAUGGCAUUUAAAGGGCUAUAGUGAGAUUUUGGUGGGGAUCAAAAGAUUAUAAGUAGGACAUUCAUUGGACAAGGUGGGAAAAGCUCAGCCACGCAAAAAGUAGGGGUGGGAUGGGGUUUAGAGAUUUUACUUGUUUUAAUCAAGCUCUCGUGGCCAAACAAUGGUGGAGGCUUCUUCAGUUUCCUAGUUCUCUAGUCUCAAAAGUUUUGCAGGCUCGGUAUUACAGAAGCUUCAGCUUCCUAAGUGCAAGUGUAGGCUCCAAUCCGUCAUUCAUUUGGAGGAGUAUCUUAUGGGGCAGAGAAGUAAUUAAAAGAGGCUUUAGAUGGCGUGUAGGCGAUGGCAGAAAGAUCUCAGUGUACAAAGAUAACUGGUUGCCAAUGCCAGAUACCUUCAAGCCGUUUUCUCCUCUAAUUUUGCUUGAGGACUCAGUUGUGGUAGACUUGAUAAAUGAGGAAAAACUGUGGGAUGAAGGAAAGUUGGUUGAACCAUCACUUCAUGCAGGAUGAUAUAGCCGUGAUCCUUAAGAUUCCAUUACCAAAAGAUCAGGCCGAUGAUGAACCUAUGUGGCACUUUGACAAAAGGGGGGAAUACUCAGUAAAAAGUGGGUAUCAGCUUGCACUCAAAAUCAAGUUUCCAGAAGCUUCCAGUAGCUAACAGAUCAGCAUAAACCAUUGGAAUGUUCUUUGGACUCUUGAGCUGCCUAAAAAACUCAAAAUCUUCAUAUGGAGAGCUGUAAAAGAUCUCUUACCCACUGUAGAAAAACUAUGGACAAUGAAAAUGCUAUAGGAACCAAUAUGUCAAAGGUGCAAGAGGAGAGCUGAAACUAUCAUUCAUGCUCUUUUGGACUGUAAAGCAGCAAAAAAAGUAUGGUCCCAAGGCCUAUCCCCCCCCCCCCCCCCCCCCAAAUUUUAAUGUUCAAUCUUGGGACAUGCUCAGUAUAUUCCAAGAUUUGGCUAGAAGACUAACCAAAACUGAGCUUGAACUUUAGGUAGCUUAUUGCUGGGUAGUGUGGUUCUCAAGAAACAAGUUCAUUUUUUAAGAUAAAAUGAUGGAGCCAGGGGUUGCAGCAUCAAAAGCUAAAUCAAUCUUGGCUGCUUACCAGAGAGUAAAGGCACCAGACAACUCUCACAUUGAUAAUUCCACAAAGGAGAAGCUGCAACAUUGGUCCCCUCCUCCUGAAAACUGCCUUAAGGUCAAUGUGGAUGCAGUCAUAAAUAGCAAUGAUCAAAUGGUAGGGCUGGGAGCUGUGAUAAGAAAUUCAAAGGCCAAUGUGGUUGCUGCUGGGGUUCAACAGACCUACAUAAAAGGGGGUGUUAGUUAUGUAGAGGUUGAGGUUGUUCAAUGGGGUAUCCAGGUGUCAAGAAAAGCAAACAUAACCUCGCUGAUUGUAGAAACUGACUACUUGGAGGUGGUAGAGUUGAUAAACAACACAAAGAGUAGCAUAACAUAAAUCUUCUGGGUAAUUGCUGAGAUUCAAAAGCAGAGCAAAGAAUUUUAAAAAUGUACAAUCCAAUAUGUUCUCAGGAACUGUAAUGCUCAUGCCCAUAAUUUAGCCAAAUUUUGCUUAGGGGGAAAAACUAGUGCUGUCUGGUUAGACUCAAUACCAGUAUAAAUUCAAUAUGUAUUUAAUGUGUUGUGAAGUAAUGAAAGGUUUACUUUCCAUUCAAAAAAUAAGGGUAAUUACUCUUUUUCUACAUUAAGUUAAAUAACAACUAUGUGCAACAAGUAUGGUACCCUAACACUUUACAGCUAAAGAAUUAUAAAAUAUUAAGUUUUACUACCCUUUUUUUUGUUGUUAAGACUAUUGGUUGACAAUUUGUUGACCUUUAAAAUAUUAAUUUUACCCUUGCUUUGAAAAAUGCAAAUCAUAUUAAUGAGUUUAUAAAAUAUCAAUACAAGGACACUUUUGCCCCUAUUAUAUCAGCAUGGUGCAACAGUUAACUAACAAUAACAAUGGAAAGUAAUAAAAUGUAAGGUUUUGUAAUUAUUUAGUAUUAAAGUUUUAGAGAUGAUACUUGUUGUACUCAGAUGUUAUUUUUCAAUAAGUUAAUUUGUAAAAAGAUAGUAAUCUUAAAAAUAAUUAUAUAUGUUUAUAAGAAAUAAACAUAAUUUUUUUUUUUUUUUUGAGUGAAACUAGAUGAAAAGAGAUAAAUUUACUUAACUUAAAAGUACACUAGUUAGGGGAAUGUAAUGAAUCUUACUUCUCAAUAGACAAAGCACUGACUGAAAAAUCCUAUGACAAAUGGUCAAAAAGAGGAAAAAAAAUGCAUGACAAGAACACUAAUUGAAGUAAUACAAGGCACAUUCAAAUUAAAGAUUCUACAACAGAAAUAUCGAAUAAAAUUCUUAAGAAACCACUUUCUUUUUCACCGGGAACUGGUUUCUUAAUUCAUACGCAUUCAGUUGCUUGUGAAUAUUGUUGAUGAAGUAUUGUCAAUUUAUUUUAUUCCCUCUACGAAAAUGAAAAUCAAUUUCGUUGGCAUAAGGAUCAAUUAACAUAUGGAUUCGUCUUUAAAAAAGAAAGUAAACACAUAGAUUCCAAAGUAGGAAACAAAUGAGUAAAGCAUAUAUACUAGACGCCAAAAAUCUUGACUUGAUCGUCCCUCUUUUCAACUAAUAUAGAUCGUAUAAUAUAAUGUAACAUAAUAUCUACCCAGAGCUUUUAGAACCAAGAAGGUCAAAAAGUAGAAAUUACAGUGCUUGCAUGUGAACCAAGAUUUUGGACUGACAUAAGUUGGCAGGACAUGUAAAAGCUUGUUUUGAGUAGUGACAGUACAGUGUCGUAUCUUUUGAACUCUAGCAACAAUUUUUCUCCAAAUUAGAAGAGCAUUGCAGCAGGUGAUGCCUGAUGCAGAGAGCUCUUGCAGUUAACAAUGGCAUAUGAUAAAUUUUUGCACCUCUCUGUCCGAGGAAAUUAAAAAGUGGAUGAGAUCUCUGAUAAAAGUUUAAAUUACCCACGUAAGUAAAAGUAAAUUUCUCAAUGGUGUGUGUGUGAAAAGUUCAUAUUUUUGGGACCGUAGCGAUCGAAGACAGAACUGUCUUGAAAGAGAUGCAUCAAAUGAAUUUCAAAGUGAAUCCGUGAAUGGGAAUGGGGUUGAUAACCGGCUCGUACAAAAAAGGCCAAAAGUUAACUCUGUAAGAGUACAAUAAAGCUUUUUAUCAAGGUUUGAUCAGAAUUCUGGUUUAAUUUAAGUGGCUUGCUGUUGUUAAUCAGUUAUGUGACUGAGAUGCUUGCUGAGAAAUAAUCAAAAUUCUUAUGAUUUACUUAAUUGUCACGUUAAUUAAUAGUUGAAUGUACGUGAAAAACAUAUUUAUUGUAUAUAUAUUAGACUACUAGCUAUUUGAUACUUUGUCUAAUUACCUCGUCGAGAAGCUCCUUUGAUGACCAAGCAAAUAGUUUGCACUAAUAAUUCAAGAAGUUUAAAAUGUGUAUGUACUGGCAUGAUUAAGAAACUUCUAGGCAGUUUCGAGAACAUUGUCAGCCAGAAUUCUAGUGAAAUGAUACAUAAAACUGCAGAAGGAUUCAAAGUUAAAAAUUAAAUAUUCUUAAAACAAAGAACAUCUGGGCCUCUUGAAAAAUUCAUUCUUGUGUAGAAAGAAAAUACAAUAAGCAUGAGGGCUUUAAUAGAGUAGAACAGAUUUGCUAGCUUAUGACCGAUCUCUCAAAGUGCAAUAAUGCGAGAAAUGUAUAAAAUAAUUGUUUAUUUUCCCGAAUUCAACUAGCUUAGGUUUCUGGGCAUAAUUUCUAAGUACCAAUAUUUUAUACUUGACAUCAAGAUCAAGCUAAAAUUUUUAGAUUUUUAAAGCCUUGGUUAUCUCCAUUAUUUCAGAACACUAGUUUUCGUUAUCGUAACCAUUACACCAUGACAGCACGGCAUCAAAAUAUUUCAAAUUCUAGAGAAAAACAAUAGAGGAGGUGAAAGAAAGUUAACGAAGUUGAUUAAUCAUUCGUAAUUCAUUAGAGUUGAUUAAAACCUACUACAGAUCAUGAUUAAUGUCAUGGCAUCUCACGAAAACUAAACCCAGCUAAAGAGACAACAUUUAGACGACAAAUUAGAGUUAAUUUUUGGAAAACUUCCUAUAGCUAAUUCAGCUUCUUAGUUGAUCACGGGGACCCGCAUCACAACGUAUGCAUCGAAUCGAUCAUCUAUCUGACCGUACAGGCAACAGCAUAAGCCCAUGACUUGAGAUGCUCUUUCAUGGCCAUGUUAUCAUCCAGUGGAGGCAUCUUCAUUUUCAUACAAAGAUGAUAUUCACUUCCAAGAACUUGGUUAUGCUGCCGGCUCGUCGUCUCUUCGUCAUCAUCAAAAAACCCAAAAUCUAACUCCGAAUGAUGGUCAAGCUCUCCAAGAAUCUUUCUUAAGCUUCUUCUUUUUCUUAUUCUUCUUGUUCUUCUUCUGCUUCUACCACUGGCACUGGUACUAGAACUAGUACUAGUCUUCCUCCUCUCUUCUGCUGGCUUUGCAAAUUCCUCCAUCUCCUUGCCGACGAAUUCUCCGUAUCUUGGAACCAAAUUCUCUGCACUGGGAGACUCCUUUCCCUCUUCAACUUGGUUCACAGGCUUUGAUGCUGCUUCUUUGACUGCAUCCUCACCAACUGCAUGAGAAGAUUGCUCAGUUCUUGAGGAAGAAACAACAAUAUUAGAGUAGAACCAAAGAGAGUGUAAGCUGUCUAUGAUAUCUGAACAAUCCAUGAGAGAUAAAAACCGGAGAGAAGCAUGAGUAGAAAAAACAGAAACACACUACUCCAGAGUCUAGAUUGGACUGUGUAAGAAUUACGUUAUUUAUAAAAUAAGAAGAGAGACAAAGAGAAAAGGCUUUGUAUUUUGCAACAGUUUUUUUGUGGACGGACUCUAUUUCUAUUGACAGGAUAAAUAUUAGCACAAUUUUCUCCUCCUUUUGUUUUCCAAUUGACCAAAGUUAACCUCUUUAUUUUGUUAGAUUCCGAAUUGCAUCGGAGGGUAUUUUGGUCUUCAUGGAAAGGCCAGGAGCAUAGUCAUUAGUCAGGGGGCGGCGUGAGAACUGGCCACUGAAGUCGUAAUUGGUAAUGAAUUACUUUGGGGAGAGAAAUAACGGGUUACCCAACGGUCGACAAAAACGUGGAAAGUGAUAAUAAUUCUCCGAUGAUUAUAGAAAACAAGAAAAUCAUGGGUUUGCAGCGCAAACGAACUUCAUGAGGGAAAUUGUUAAUAGCCAUUAGCUAGCUUUAAUUACUAUGUUUGUUUCAACCUAUGCAUAUGUAUUAAUCAUUGGUGAGUUCAGAGGCAUUUAUUCAUAACUAAUCUAUGACAGUCAAAAAAUUGGCUUGAAUUUCGUUUCCAUGCAUGCAUAAUUUAUGCUAUAUGGUAUAAAAAAAGUAUAAACUUCAAGUGCAGUGGUCGACCUUUCUAGAGUGUCGGCAAAUAAUGUCCCUGUAUUCUCUUUGUAUAAAUUUAAUUGACUUCGUUUAUAAUAACAUAAUUCUUUGGGUACUUCUGCUCCCCAUUUACAAUGUGAUAGGUCAAUACGUUUUAUAUCCACACACACUGUUGUCUUAUUAAUAUUGAUCAUUGAAUAUUUCUGUAGUUAACAGUAAAACAAUUUAUUUCCAUGACCACCUAUUUUCAUAGCUUAACUGUUCAUAGUUCACAUAUCCAUGUGAGCCAGCCAUUGUGUGUUUUCUUUUGUCUAUGUUUUACCCUGUGCUUUCAUUCCACCGGUUAAAAGUAUGGGUCCAGCUAUCCUGCCUACGUGGUUACUGCUAACCCCACUAUUUUGUCAUUUUCUGAAUUUUGCCGCUAGAUUGGAAGCACCACAAUCCAACAGAUGUAAAUGCACAGGGGUACCGCACCCGAAUCUGCGUCUCGUCUGCGAAGCGCAUCGCACACGCCCCAUCACCAAUGCCAAUGAGAUCGAUAGAGCAUGCGACGCCCUCCGCCAUACCACGAGUUAUAUUACUCCUCUCAAAAAAAUUGUUUGGUGUCUCCUUUCGCUCAUAUGUGUGAAUGAGAAAGAAAAUUUGAGAGUAAACCUCUAUUAAAGAAUUUUUUCUUUUUUUAUUUAGUGUAUUAAAUCAUCUAAUAUCCGAAAACUACAUUGGAUCCCGACUAAUUUAUAUUCGAGUUGGGUAUAACUACUAGGACGGCAAAGCCAAGCUUCCUCAAUAAGUAUUUAACGCAACUGCAUUCCCAAGCCUCGAACUGAGAAACUUCGUUAAAUUAAAACAGUCUCAUACCAACUGAUCUAUGCACUUAUUGGUUAACCGAGGACCUUGUCAUUUUCUCCCUUUUUUAUUCUAAUACGUUAAACAUUUAUAUUAGCGAGAUUUUUGGAAGGACACGUAAUUAAAUUUCCUCACUGAACCAUCUUAUUGCAACAAAUUACCUCGUUAUAUUUUUCAUAAAUUUAUAACCAUUUCCAACAUUUUCUUUACCCUUUAGUUGUUUCCAAUGGUUUGCAGUAAUCCACACAAUUGUCGCAUCAAUUUUCCUUCUAGUUGUUACCAAGAAUUAACCUUUUAGUAGUACAUAUUCUAUUAUUCUCACAACUGUUUGUCUAGAGAGUUCACCCGCUAAUUACCUAUUUGCAGGUCAGAAAGUGGCUACUUAUGGCUUUUUGUUGGAAAUAACAUUUCGACAGAUCUCGAGAGAAUAAUUCUACUUUAACUAAAGAACACAGCCUUGAUUUACUUUAUCAUUAACAAUUCAGAUUCUUAGAUUUGUGAAUUAAUUGCAACGAAAACAAGCUAGAUGAUUCAGUUUACUUUUAUUUAUGAUUACAAAGGAUGAAAUUUUUUACAAAAACAUCUUGUCAAAAAAAUCAAAACUGUAAAUUACGAAACUUCAUCAUCUAACUGCAGACAAUGCAACAGUAUGAGCCCACCAUCUGAGAUUAUCUUUAAUGUCCAUUUCAUUAUUCAAAGCAGAAAUUUUCCAAUUAAUCAAUAAUGAAUUCUCUUUCCUUGUGGUAUCCAUAAUCUCCCAAGCUUCAGAGAGAUAAGGCCUUGAAACAGGAGAAUUAUCAACUGUGUCAUCUUUCUUCCCCAGUCUCUGCAAGCCAGGAACAAUCUCAACCAAUCUUGAAUCUUUAUUAUCUUCCUCUGUGAAAACAAAUCCAAGAUCCAUAAACCCUUUUAGCUCUUCAAAUUCCAAGUCUGACAAGCUCUUGCUCUCACUAUUCUUCUUCCUUCUCCUUGUUGAAGCAACAUGUACCCCUUUUUUCUUGGAAACAAAUUCUUGAACAUGAUAAUGAGCUUGAGCUUGUUUUGUCUCUCCAACUUCUUCCGUAACUGUAACUUCUUUGCCUGACAAAAUUGUUUGAAGCUUUGGUGGAGAAAGAACCGAGUCUGGAGAGAAAGAAAAAGAAUUAUUGAAGCUUGUUUCAGAGCUCAAUUGCGCACUCAUGGACCUUUUAUGGCUUGUAGGGACCCGCAAGAACUCUGCUUUUGAUGGCUUUUCUUCAUUUUGGUUAUGUCGGCUUGCUUCAAUUUUUGAACAAAUUGAUGAUCUUGAUUGCUUUUUCAAGAUUUCCAUCUCAAACCAGCAUGUAUCAAAUAGCUUCAGUAUUCUGUCGGAGCCCAUGUCAAUGGCGGCUUUGCAGAGAAAACUAGAAUCUGUAAUUUGUGUAUGAGAUGACCUCUGAACAUUCAGGCUUAAUAUAUAAGACUAGACUAAUGACAAAAUACCCCUCAGGUUGCGAGUUUAUUAACCCCCCCCCCCAAAAAAAAAAAAAACAACUCACGUUUUCCAUAGGUUCAGUAUGUAAUUAAUUAAACAUUGAUUUGGUCUUUGUUUUACUUUUAUUCCCCCACGACUCCGAGUAAGUUUGCUUUUCCUGGAAAGUAAAGUGAUUGGAACGUGUGUGGGUGUGUAAGUAUAUGAUGUGUCGUCCAAAAACGAAAAAGUAUGAUGUGGCUUUAAGUAGAAGCAAAGAGAUAUAUUAUUGCGCAUUUGCGUGUGGUGAAACAUGGAGGAGCACUGCUGUUGAUGUCACUGGAAAAAUCCAACCCACAUGAAUAUUAUGAUGAUGAUGAUCAUACAGGAUUAUGAUUGAUGAUUGCACAUCUUGUCUGAAAAAGUUUACAUAUUUUGGUGGUCACAUCGUCAUCUCUCGAUCGAAUUGCUGUUAGAUGAGUGCCCAUUAAUUCAACAAUCAUGCACCAAUAAACAUUGCAAUAAUUGUUUUCUUGCUUAAAGUUUACACUUGAGUCACUAUUAAUAUAAAAUGCAUAUAUAACCAUUGUUCACACGUCACUGACUCACUGUGCUUUUGUUGCAUUCACUUUCUCAGCGAAGGAAAAAUUAUGGAAUAUCAUAGUUUUUUUCGUAAAUAAAUAAAUAAGAAAAUUAAACAUAAUUUUAAUAUAUUUCAGUCGAUACUCAUAUAGUUUCCAUUCGACAAAACAUUCUCUUUGCAUGUCUAUGAAAAAGUUUUUAUUCUUAUGCCCAUUGUAAAAAUACAUUUUCAUAUAAUAAAAUUGUAAGGAUAUUAUUUUUUUAAUUUACCCAAAAAAAAGGUAUCAAAUAAUUCAUCCAUUAUGAUAGAUUUAUAUUUUGGUUUGAUUUUGGUUCAGUUUAAAAAAUUUAUGUGAGCUUCACUUUGAGAAGUGAUUUUGUGAAUGAUGGCCGGCUGUCUCUCUUUAGGACAGUUUUUUUAGUGACAAACUAAGAUGAGACAAUAUUGAAAGUAAAGAAAAUAAUCAUUAGAGGUGACACUGACGAUGGUCGAUAAUGAUGCUCCAAUGGUCAAGUUAGGUACGAGUUGGAGAAGAUGAAGGGUUUCAAAGAAACACUUGAACAAGAGAAAAUUUAAGUGUGGUGGGAGUGACAAAUCUUACAUUUCUUGUGGGACUAAUUGGAACUUAUAAAAGGAGUUUCCUUAAAGACAUCUUUAUGUCUUUUGGAUAACCGGAGAACAAUAUUUGGCUUUUUCCUCCUUAGUUGGGGGUUGUGGAGUAAUUUAAUUGUUCAUAUUGAGUCAUUUUUCUUUUAGGCUAUUUGGAGUGGACACUAUCCCUGCGGAUUGUCUCUGCUGACAAUAUAUCUCUAAGUCCGUUGGUUUAUUUCAAAUGAGUCAAUUGGGUUGAAAAUACUGCUAAUUUCAUAAAUAAUUAUUCAAGUUGUUGAUCAAUUAGUUCCCUUUCUUAUUUUCAGUGCACGUGACUGUUAGAGGGAUAUUUUGCAAUAAUCCUACUAGGGACCGUACGAUACUGAUGCAUAGUAAUUUUGGGAAAGGAUUUGUCUCCGUCUUAAUGGUCCUCUGUUGAAAUGUGAUAACUUUAAAUUAUUUUGAGAAAUAUUUUCUGCACUUGUUGUUAACGUAUGUAGCUCAUAUUGUUUUCUUAUGAUCUUCUCAUUUCACCCUUAUCCUUUCAAUUUCUUCUUCACACUUUGCAAGGACAUAUUGGGUAUGAAAAUUACUGUACACGUGUCACAAUCCAAUUAUAUGACCCAAAAUUUGCCUCCAACCAUGCGAACAGGGAAAUCUUAUUAUUUGCUACUAGAAAUUGAAACAAGUAAUUUUUUAUUACAUGUCAUUUCAAAGUCAACUGUCAAAACAAUAAUUUUCAAAUUGUAGGGGUAUUAUGGUGAAAAAAGUCACUAAAUUGAGUUAAUAUGCCGAUUCAGAUUCUAAAUUCAAAUCAUUUGAUGGCAAAUUAUGGGUUAGGUAUAAGAGCUGAAGUCAAACCCAUAAUAAAACGUUGAAUUGAAAACGUCCAUAUCUGCUUAACUUAGUCAUCACGCGUUUUAUUGGCUCCCCACGUGGGAAGAUACACUGCCAAUAGCUACUCGCCACAUCGAAAGAAAAACAUUAGCCUUCUUCAAGCAGCUGCAGUGAGUUCACACAAGACUUUCACUUUCUUUUACUGCUGUUGGGGUCAUUGAUAUCUUAUCUUUAAUAAAUGUGCAACGACAAAAUUAAAAAAAUAAAAAAAGUGAUCAAUGUGGAAAAUGGCAAAAAUAAUAAAGAAGACGAAAGUAAUACAUGUCGUUUGCUCUUGAUCUCAUUAAAGUCGUUCACUCCAACGACAAUUUGGUUUGGACUGGAGAACAUGUAAUUUGAAUAUUUGGUCGUACAAUAAUAUCAUGAUACUCUUCUUGCAGUGCAUUUGUAUGUCAGAGGAACCAGAACUAGAUUUUGGUUUGGUACGGGCCUGGGCAUAAUUUUAAAUUUACAAACUUCUAACAGAGUCAUUCUACAAAACGGUAAAACGGUAAAUCUUUUAUGAUGCGUUUACUUUUAAAAUUAUAAAAUUAAAAUAAUUUAUAUUUACUUAUUAAAAUAAAAAAGAAAUUGGAUUCAUUUACGCAGGCCCCACACCAGAUUGGGAAACAACAAUGGGAGUCUGAUUCUAAGGAGGGUUGUGAAUCAGACUCUCAUUUUCAAAACUAUUCAUUUUAUCCCUUUUAAAUUUUUAUAACUCUUAAAUUACUCUUAAUUAUAUUUUUUAUAUUUACAUUUUGGUCCCCAUAAAUUUUAUGAAAAUACCUAAAAGCUUUUAUUUUGUAUUAUUUGUAAAUAAGUCCUCCAUUAUUUAUUUAUUAUAUUGUCAUCAUUAUUAUAUUAAUAUUGUUAUUAUUAAAAUUUAUUAUUUAAUUAUUUUUUUGUCAUUAUUUUUAGUUUUAUUUAUUAUAAUAGAUACAAAUAAUACUAAGUACAACACUUAAUAAUGGACAUUUUAGUAACUUGUAACAAUUUAUUUUAAUGUCAAGAUAAAGUAAGCACAUUAAUAAAAUUACGGCUCAUUCUAAUUUCGAUUCAUAUAACUUGAGUAAACAAUUUAUUCUGAUUCCUAUUCUUUAUCCUGAUUCCAGCCUAUUCUAAUUACCGAUUAGUAAACACAGUAUAAGAAGACUCAAAUAAUUAGUUUUACCAAAUAAUGCACUCAAUUUUAGUUACCUCACAAUAUUUUCUGCAUUUUUUAGGCCUCAACAUAGUUUAUAGUUCCGUUCCUGUUUAGGAUGAUAAUGAUUAUUUAAAUAUUUGUUAGUUCCUUUUAUUGAGGAUGACAAUGAUUAUUUAAAUAUAUAUUUAUUUAUUCUCCUGUAGGGAUGGAAAAUGCCAGUUGCCACAUGUGUUUCAUGUCUCAAUUAAUAAAACAGUUUAUGCUUUUAGAAUUUUACAAUUUAGGUGGGACUAAUGCUUUCCUUACUUGAACAUUAAUUGAGUCUUAAAAAAUAAACUAAUAUGUUUAAUCUUAUAUUUAUUAUUUUACUGAACUCAAGUAUCUCUUAAUAUUCAAAAAAAAAAAAAACUCAAAUAUUUCUUAGUAAUAUAUAUAGUGUGGAUGCUUAUUGUUCAACCGACAAAACUCUUUUAGAUGGUAAAUUACAUUUGAACUUUGAAUUAGUUUCGGAGAUAGCAAAUGAAUUGGAUUUUCAUCAUAUGCAAUAUUUAUUUGAAGCAAAGACGAAGGAGUGGUGGGACAGAGGAGGGGAGGAAAACUGAAGCCCAACGAUAGUCCAUAUAAGGAAAACACGAACUAAGAACUUUCAUAUUACUUCUGAACAGAUAUGUCCCUUUGGGAUGUUUGAUCUUUAAUAUCAAUAAAUUCAUAAAUUGGGAAAAAAAAAGGGUAACUUAUGUCUUUGGAUCCAUGUUAAUUUAUAUAAUGAAAAUUAUCAACCAUGUUUGUGGGGGAAUUGUUACCCUUUCAUGAAGGGAUAUCACUGAUAAUUAUUAGAUUACUUUAGCUUAUCUUUUUCUUUGAUUUUUUUUUUUGGCUCUUUCUUUUUUAGGGUAUUUUAGCAGACUUUUUUUUUGAACUUAUGAAUUUUAAAGAAUAAGGCGCAUUACGUUUCCCUAGGUGCUAAAAUUCUCUCCCCCCCCCCCCCCCUCUCUCUCUCUCUCUAUAUAUAUAUAUAUAUAGAGAGAGAGAGAGAGAGAGAGAGAGGAGACAGUGAUCCAAUCUACAAGUCCCAGAUUGUAUCACUAUCCGUGAAUUCAAUGGCCCUGGGUGGCUUCUUUUUUCUUUUUUCUUUUUGUUGGCUGCACAUGGCAGCUUUUUGGAUUUAAAUCCAAAGUUCAUUAGCCUUUCUCCCAAUCUCGUAUUGGAACAUUUUCUUCUAUAUAUAUAUAUAUAUAUAUUCCUUCUCUAGGGGGUGUCCUCUUUUUUUCUUUUUCUUUUUUUAUGCAGACAUCUUUAUAUAUCAUGGGGUUUAAAUCACACAGUUUUAUAGUUCUUUCAAAUAUAACUAAAUCGUAUACUUAAGAAUAUCUCUACAUUUAAAAAAAUUGAGAGCGCUCGCUCUCUGUUGCAAAAGAAAAGUAAUUAAGGAACUAAAGCCUAGUAAAAGGCUGACAAAACACAUCCAAAACGAUGUUGCCAGUGCUAUGGACUUUUGCUUGAGUAGAUCCAAAAUGAUGAAUGGGAUUGUGGCACUACACUCACCGCCAAUGCGAAAGGAUGCCACCGAAAAGAAUGGAAUGCUACUUCGCUAUUCUAGAUGCGUCGUUUUGGGUGUGUUUAAAAAAAUAAGAUUUAAACUCACCCAAAACGACAUUGUUUUAGGUGUUUUUUUUAUCAGCCGUUUCACAUAUUAGUGCUCAAUGCAAAAAUGUAUUCUAAUCCUUCUCUACAAAACAGUAAGUCAAAAACACGAACCAGCGAAUAAAUACAAUAUUAUUUGCAAUGAAAUUUUGGAAUAUGUACCACUACUUAAGAAAUAAAAGUUGGACGCUACUACUAUGGCGAAAAAUUAUGGUAUUAUGCUAGAUUGUUGGUUGAAGUUGAUCUCCCGAGAACUACGCCUGAAAAAAUAAAAAUGUAACGUUAUAUUUUGAUGAAAAUAGUAAAUGUUGACGCAGAUGUGUGUACGAGCAUAUAUUGCACAAACUAGCUAUAUCUAGGGCAUAAUUUUAUUUGUUACCUUUUAAUUUGUUGAUGGCUAGCUAGAAAUAUUAGGAUGAUUGCACAGAUGAAUUGCCGGGCAAAUCUCCUUUGGCAGUGAGCUAGGUUGCUUCUCCCUGCAGCCAACUGCCAAUAGAGAAUUGCCCAGUAAUGCAUCUAAACACUUGAUUCAUUUGAUGCACUCAAACUCAAAUUUUUCUCUCUCGAUGAAGAGUGUUAAAUCUCCAGACGUAUAUAUAGGCGAAGAGAAAACUCCGGUAUUUUUCAUGCAAACAGGAUAUCCGAAGCACAUACUCUCUACGUAUUUCAGCAUUUGGUAAGUAGCUUAGAAAAAAAGGCUAAAGCUAAAGUGGUCCAUAAUUUAGCUUUGAUUCGCAUAGCGUCAGCUUCAGCCUCAGCUACUUGAUCCACGUACUAGGUUGAUUAAGGGUUCCCAGCAUUCCCUUCUUACAGAAAAAAUAUAACGGCAUCAUCGUUCUAUCCCAGGAAUUAUUCUCUGCAACACGUCCUUAUCUGGGGUUGAAAGAAUUUCUGCACUCAAACCUUGUAGGUAUUAUAGUUGCUUCAUUAUUAAAUGCAAAAAUUGUACAUUAAAUACGCCUCAUAUAUGAGUUAAAAUUUACCUUAAGUACUAUUGUUGGGUCAUUACUUGUAAACUUAAGUUUUUGGGUUAAACUAGUUUCACUAACAUGGUAUCAGAGACAAGUUCUCAAGUUUUGAUCACCUUAUAACAUACAAACUAUUUCGAUUGUAUCUUCAAUGUUCUUAGUUCACUUUUAGACUCUUUUCUUUUAGUUCAUUUAUGAAUUUUUGUCUUAAGUCUUAAUUCAUAUUUUAGGUGAACAAAAGUAUUAAGACUUGUUUUAAAUUUCACUUUUAGGCUCGUCUUUUGGUCCAUUUAUGAAUUUUGUCUUAAAUCUUAAUUCAUAUUUUAGGUGAACAGAACUAUUAAGACUUGUUUUAAAUAUUAUUAUUAAACUCUCACCUAUGAAUUUAAGUUUUUUUUUUAAUCAAACAAUUUCUCUAACAAUAAGGCGCGUAACAUAUUCGAAAGAAUCAUAUGUGAUUGAUUACUUGUCAGCUGGGCGUAAAAAAGUCUCCUUUGCAAUCCCUAUUUCGAAUUUCAAUAAUCAGAUCAAUUACUCUAUUAGGGGGAACAAAAUGAAAACGAAAAUUUCCAAACAGCGAGAGACAAUAUUUAAAAUAUGUAUGCCGCCAUUCGCGGACAAGGGUGCUUAAUUUUAAUGGCCUUAAAAGAUAUAUAAGUAAGAGUGGGUUGACUUGGGUGUUUAUAAAAAAUGCAACAGGGGAAUGGACAGGAUACAAUAUUCGACUUCUUUGUAGGCAUAAUAAACUUGAUAGUCGAUAAAAUGUUCAUAUAUUUUCGCUGCAUAAAUGAAGAUGUUAACUGAUCAGAAUUCUGUGAUUGAGUAAAGGACUGCUGAUGAUGAGGUUUUGGGUUGGGACCAUGAACCCUUAAGAAAAAGAACAUGGGAGUUAUCUACAGGAAUUGUACUGGCAUAUCCUAUCACUUUGUUCAUGGCAUAUCCAAGUGCAGGUGCGAAUAUUGUGGUAUAAAAAGGCUUAACUGUGAAUGCUGUGAGGACUCAGGUGGCUUGGCUGGUAGAUCGAAGAAUUUGUUCCAUCAAUACAAAGUGACAAUGUGGUUGAGGAAUAACAGUGCAGUCCUCCUUUGGCGUGCAGAUUGCAAAGAGAUAAUGCAUAUUAUUUCAUUCAUUUGCAUCCUUCUGUUUGCCAAAGGAGAAUUGCCCUGCCAUUCACUCUCGCAGUUAGCUGUAAUUGUUGCAAGAUUCCAGCAGCCUCAUUCAAUUUGUUUGCCAAAUUAAUGUAACAAACGAUUUCGUCAUUUACCAUUCUGAAUUCAAUAUGCAUUUUGAAUGUCUCAAAAUUCUCUUGCUAUAUACACACGCACACGCGCGCGCAUGAUAACAGCUUAUUUGCGCUCAACUCAGGGGCCGGGCACCCGGGUCCCAGGAAAGAUAUCUAGAUAAGCUAAUUUCUAUCAAUAGUUCACGUUGCGUUGUUGCCCCUUUUAGUUUUUAUUUUUAAUGUCAUGGCUUCUCAGGUCUUUUAAUUUGUUUCUCCAUUAUGGCCCUUUACUCCAAAAUGGUGGCUUGGUUCCGCCAAACAAGAGUGUCAAUCGAAAAUGCCAUCGUGGAAGCUGCUAGUUCAACACGAUUGCCAAAUCAGAGACAUGUAUAUUGUACGUGUUGGCAAAUGAUAAUGAUUGGCUAUAUACAGUUAUAUUUUCCAAUUUAAAUAUUGCAUCCGUUUCUCAGUUUUUUACAAUCUCAGUCUUUGUUUUUCCGAUUAUAAUUGAAUUAAUUAGAAGCCGAAUUAAUUUGAAACUUGUUUUCAGAUUUCAUGCAUUCAUCUUGUCUGGUUCUAAAAGGUUGGAAUGCACUAGAGUAACAGCUUCGUCAAGUGUAUUUGUCAUGCACCGCUUGGAAAAAAAAAAAAAAAAAAAA
rnacentral:lncRNA from 1 species